UCAUUGAGAGUGUUUGUAGGUUUUCUAGAACAACAAUAGAAUUUUCUUUCCCCUUAAUUUCUGAAAUGGGAGGAUCAGGAAGACUUGCAGUUUUUUCCAACUUGACAUGUCUUAAUUGUGGCAUCUUCCAUAUUUGUGGUGGUAGCUUAUGAAUCCCGUCAUGAGUAAUUAUUGUUUGUAGAUUCCGAAAUUUAUUUAUUGAUGCAAUAUCGUAUCCAAAGUAGGAAUUGAAGUACCGCAUGUUAACCAAUACUUGCAUUCCAUUUUGCAAAUGAUCCGUUCCCUCAGUAUGCAGCACUUUAAGUGCCCUAGAAUCAAAAGAAUUUUCUACAAUUGAAAAAGGAAGUAACCUCUUUAAAGACGACGGUGUUUUGUCAUCAUCCUGGAGAGUCCCUUUCGUCGUAUAGUAAAAUGGAAGAAAAAAUCGAGGAUUCUUAGCAUUAAUACUUAUACGGCGCAUACUAAUGCUUCCUUGAAUAACAUCGAAACUCUGUUCACUGACAUGGAAAAACUUCUCCUUUUGAGCUUCCCUGAUACAAAGGUCCCGUAAUAGAUCAUGAAUCGUACAAGUUUUAAUUUUUCCACUAGACCCUUUCUUUUGAACCAAAAUGAGACUUCUUUGAACAAGAUCCAAAAAGUACUCCUCUCCUACAUCUUCCAACCUUUUAGAGCUUGCUGGUUUGAGGAAUCCCUCUGCAACGCACAACUUUAUAAGUUCUUUGACUCUUAUUUCAAAAUCUUCCGAAAAAAUUCCCAUGUAUAGAAAACACCCUUUCAAAUGAUAAGGCAAAUGUUUAUAACUUAAAGAAAGAAUCUUAGAACAUUGCUCAUCAUUUGAAGUUAUUCAUCAUUUGAAAACACUCUCAGGUCACAUCUCCAAGUGGUAAAAGGGGAGGGUGAAAAAAUCCAGUUUUACUUGAGGCUGCUGCGUCAAGGGUUCGAAUCCUGAAAUAUGGAUUUGGCUCUUGGGUAAGCGAAAGUGUACAAGCAGCCUUCCACCCUGUACCCUUGGAGGCAUAAUCUGCGAUUUACCUCCCUCACGAUACUCCAGGGCAGAGAUGGUGGGGGACCCUUAAGAUUAGGGUUUAACCUUUAAUGAUAGCAGACAACUAAUUAUGUGGUUCACAUGGGUUUGACUGCUUUAUUGGUUAACGUGCAAAAUGACAUUUGUACCCCUAAUUUUACAGGAGUAGAAACGACAUUGCACGAGUGAAGUGGAGGGUAUAUACGUCAAUGGGUUCCAAGCGUUCAGUGGAUUUUUUUCUUGGAUUUUCUGACUUUUGAAAUGGUAUGAAUAGAAAUGGAUACAGCUGUAUCCACCAAGUUGGGUUGAAUAAUAAGCCAAAAUGUGAAGACCCCUUUCAACUCCAUUAAAUUUUAUUAUAUUAUAUUACAUUUCAUUUUUUUCUUUUAUUUUUAAUUACAUAAUUUUUUAUAAAAUAAUAUUACAUGUAAAUCGAAUAUUUUUCUUUCUUUUUCAAUUAUUCAUUUUUUAAAAAAACAUUAUUAUACCUAUUUUCAUUUUUUAGAAAAUGAGGGCCAAACGAGAAUUAAUGGGCGCCAAAUGAGGCCUCCAUUAGUUAAAAAAAAAAAAAAAAAAAAGGAUAUUUUACACGUUUAUUUGAAUAUGAGAAGAGGUAGCGUCGUGGAACAUUGGUGCCAAAUUUUACAACUUUUUUACAAAGAUUUGAACAACUGCAAUAAUUAGCAAGAACUAACUUGUUCACAUUUUAUGACGGAAGAUCAAACUCCUAAUGUAACAAUAGGUUAAGAACCAACAAUUCAAUUUUUCCUAUCGCACGCCAAUAACUUUUUCAUUUUUUUUUUUUUUUAUCUUUAUAUGAUCGAGCUAAUUAAUUUACAUGGAUAGGAAAUUAAAUUUUAUUUUUCAUACAUUUCCCACUUGUUUUUAGGUAUAAUUGUCCUCGUCACCUGUGAAGAAAACUGAGGUUUGAAGUCGAAGAUAUUUUCUUGAUUACAAACUAUUAUAGUUCAUCAUGAACGUUGUUGGUGAUUUAAUCUCAUUACUCGUCCAAAAUUUUUGUUUAGAAAAAGGGUGCAAUAUUUUUUGCUAAAUUUUACCGUAACGUCAACAUGAUCAAACAUUUUUGGCAUGAGAAUGGUUAUAUCCAUUAUCGUAAGGCUCACAAUUGAAUUGUACGAAGAUUAGCUGUCAAUUUUGACUAGGACCUAAUUUUUUAGAGUUGUCCGAAGACUUUUGAGUGUGUACCGAGCAGCACGUGGCACUAUCACAUCCCAAACGAGAAAAUAAUUAUUUUUUAAUUUUUCAAUUACAGAGUCACGUCCAACAGAAGUAGGUUUGGAUUCUUGAAUUUCUUUUCCCCUUUUUUGAUUGGUUUUACAUUUUCUCGUUUCAUUUUAAAAAUGUUCGUUCCAAGUGAAAAUAACUUACAUGUUAGGCAAUUGAAAUUGAAAACUAAUGAAGACUACGCCAUACCUAUAAGUCAUAUAGAUUCUUUUUGUUUAUCAAUGGAUGAACACUUCUCCAUCUUUCAUUGAACUUCAAGACUUUAAUUAUGCGUACAUUUCAAUUAGCUAUUUAUGUAUCCCACUUUUAAUUCAUACCCCAUUUCUUGAUUAUUAUGUAAUUCCAUUUUUCUAAAUAUCUUAGGGUCCGUUUGGUUGUAAAGAUAGAAUUUGGGUGAAAAGAAAACGAAUUUCAGAAAAUUGAAUUGCCUAAAAAUUGUUUUACUGAGAAUUGUUAAUUAUUGUGUUUGAUUGGUGUCAUUUUCUACGUGAAAAAUGUUGAAAUAAAAAUAAUUUUUUGUGUGUUUUUUUUUUGUUUUUUUGUUUUUUUUACAAUUAGGGAUAAAAUUUGUUUCCAUUGUAUAAAAAAAAAGGGGGGGAAAAAAUAGUCUAGAAAACCAAUUAUCACCAAUUCCUUGAAAACCAAGAAAAUGUCUAGGUGGCAAGAAAACCAAAAAAAUCAAUUUCAUGGAAAAAAAUAUACUAUCAAACAGUCAAAAAAUGAAAAUUGAAAUUUGAAUUCCAUUUUCUACGGAAAAUAAUGGUCUAUCUAACAUGCCCUUACUUCGUUCUAUUCAUAUAACAGCAUUUUAAGCACUUGUUUCCAUUCAUAUACCCAAUUUGACCAUCAUAUCAUGUAACCCACCAUCUUUCACUAGCCCAAAAAGAAAGAAAGAAAGAAAGCAAGCAAGCAGUUUAAAAUUUUUGGCUUUUUGUUACUUUAGCCAAUUCGAACACGUAAUGAUCUAAUAGGUGUCUUCCACUAAAAAUGAUAAAUAAAAUGAAAGCAAGUUAAAGGUCUUGUUACUUUGGCCAAUUCAAACACAUAAUGAUCAAACAUGACUAUUAAUUAUAAUUAAAUCGACCGAUCAAUCCAAUGAAAACAACUGCAUCACACUAAUGAAUAAAAUUUCUAUAUAUUUCUCACAUUAAAAGAUUCAAAAUCUCAGAAGGAAAAAAAAAAGUAUAUUAAGUCUUUAUUAAUAUGUAAUUUAAACUAUUUCUCAACAAAAAGACAUAAUUGAUAAGAUGUAGUUGUCAUAUUAUUGUGGAGAGGGAAAGGGCAAACAAACAGAAAAAUGUUAACAGUCUCGGAAUGGAGCAAAUAAACAACAUGAAGAGUAAAAUAGUGAAUAAUGAUUAAAAAUGGUGAACAAGUCCUAGAUUGCACAAAGAGUAAAAUGAAAUUCAUUAGCAAUUAAAUGUCUCAAAUUUUUAAGAGUUGCAUGUCUAUUUCAUAAAAGGUGUGACAAGGAAAUGGGAUGUGGGGACUAAAACCUGACUAACAAUAAUGUAGCAUAUUUAAUAUUUAAUGUUAACUGUCUUGCGAUACGAUCGAUCGAUUGAAUCAAGUUUCAAAUAAUAAUGAACCAUUUAUAAAUGCAAUUUUACACUUAUAUGAGCCAUCAAGGAGGCAUUUGGGAGUGUUUUUAUAGUUUAUAUACUUAAUGUUGUAUAAUUAUUGACUGUUUUAGGAGAGUAUUCGGUAUUGGGCCUAUUGGCAAGGGACAAUAAUUGUGAAAUUAGGAUUGAAUUCUGAAAUUUGGGGAUCUUCAUCAGGCAGCUUUGCUGCAGAUGCAGUGAGGUAUACCCUUUUGACUUUGUAGCUGUUUGCGGGAAUUGCUGCGCCCUAAGGUUCUCAUUGGAUUCAAUGAACCUCCAAUAUCAGAUAAACCAUUAUUUUUUAAAUUCAAUAAACAUAGUGACUUUAUUGAAACAAUAUAAUUAUGUUUUAUAGUGAUCCAAUUAGAACGAAAAACAAGUUCAGUGACUUCCAUGAAAUUAGGAUUAAUGUAAAGUAACCUCCAAUGUUUUAACCUCUAACGUAUGUUGGUUGAGUGAUUUGAAAAACUCCGUCUAUGUUUUUCAUUUAUGUGUAAAUGAGGGGCAUUAGUUUGACAAUAAUCGAAAAUUUUUACCGAAUAUAUGAUGCAAAUGAUGAUUGAAUAUUUUUAACAACAAAGUUGAAGGAAUAGCAAAAAGGAAAUCAUUUAAACAAACCUCAACUUUAUAAAAAUUUGAGAUUAGUUUUUUAUUAUUGAUCUAAGGACAUGUAUGGUGCAUCAUAUUAGAAUGGAUAAGGAAUAAAAUAGCUAUUUAAUAUUUUUCGAUGUUUGGUACAAUUAGUAUCAAGAUUAAAUUAAUCCAAGGUGCGUAUCCUACUUUACUCACUUACAUUUAAACAAAAUACUUAUAAAUAAAAAUUUCUCUUAUGAGUAAGAAAAAAAUUCAUAUAACUAAUUUUCUAGUAAAAAAAUUCCCUUAAUAAGCUAAAAACAAUCUUAUUAAAGAGUACUUUCAUAAAUUUUGAUUUUUCUUCAGUUUUAUUAUCUUCUGAUAAUGAAAUCACUCCAAACGCCAUAUUAUGACAAUUCUCUCUCCUAUAAUUCAAAAGACUGUGCUUCAUAAUAUGAUUUUUCUUUUUUUCUUUUUUUCAUUUUAUGAUAUUUCUAGGUUAGAAAUAUGGAAUUGUUGUUUGUUUAAUUAAUAAGAGGUGGCGAUGUAGACUUUUCCAAGGACGGAAUCGAUUUGUUGUUUCUCACUAGGAAGAAAAUAUGAGAAAUCAUAUUUCAGGGUACGGUGUAGAACGUAUGUGCGUGAGUAAGAGAAAGAAGAUAAGCAUAAGCCAUUUCUGCUCUCUCCUAUCACAGCUUGAAAGAUAGAAAAUUGAACCAAAAUGAAAGCAAUCAGGAUCUCUUAUUGAUGUAUAUACUGUUUAUGAAUGUUUAUAGAAACUUCCAAUUUCUCGAUUGAAUAAGAGGCUGAGAAAAAAUUAUAUUAAACUGCAAUAAAAAUAUUUGUUUAUUGAAUGGAUGCAGAAUCCCUACCAAACUAUGCAAGUAUAUUGUUAAGCCCGUGUCUGGAAGUGCAAUGCUAAGUGUACAUGGGUCCCAUAUCAAUCACUUAUAUUGACUGCAUCAGUUGAUCUAUUACUUAGCAAUUAAAAAGACAAUGAAAUGAAUUAUGUGCCCUUUAAUAUUUCAUUCUUCGUUUUGCUAUUUUAAUUUUACAUGAGCAUCAAGCAUGCAGUUAAACAAGAAAAUAAUUAUUUUCUAAUUCUCCCUUCAAUUACGUAGUCACGUGCUACAGAAGUAGGUUGGGAUUCUUAAAUUUCUUUUGGUUUUUGCAUUUUCUCUUUUCAUUUUACAUAUUCCUUUUUAACUUCAAAAAUGUUCGCUAGACAAUAUCUUGUCUGUUUGGCAUUUGAAAUAAAAAAUUAAUGGAGGCUCACCAUGCCUAUAAGUCACAUAGAUUAUUUUUGUUUAAAGGAGACUUGAGAAAUGAGCACUUCUCCAUCUUUCAUUUAACUUCAAGUCUUUCAUUAUGAGUUUCAAUGCGCUAUUUAUGUAUCGCUACUUUUAACUCAAAACCCAUUUCUACAUUUACUAUGUAAUUCCAUUUUCUCGAAAAUUACUUCAUUCUAUUCAUAUAACAACAUUUUAGGACUUAUUUUCUUUCAUUUUAAAUGUAGAAAAUAUUGAAUAUCCAAUUUGACCAUCAAAUCAUGCAAAUUACAAUCUUCCACUAUAGUCCAAAAAAGAAAGAAAGCAAGCAACUUUAUGCUUUUGUUACUUUAGCCAAUUUAAACACACAAUAAUCUGACAGGUUCCACUAAUCCAAAAAAGAAAGAAGGAAAGCAAAUAAACGUUUGGUCACUUUAGCGAAUUCACACAUCUUUGAAGACUAUUAGUUAUAAUAAAUCAAUCAAUCAAUCCAAAGAAAACAAACUGCAUCACACUAAUGAAUGAAAUAUGUAUAUAUUCCACACAUUAAAAGAUUCAAAAUCUCAAAAGGAAAAAAAAGUAGAUUUAGUCUUUAUCAAUUGUUAACUUCAAUUAUCUCAACAAAAAGACACAAUUGAUAAGAGGGUAAAUUACAAGACGCGUGUGGAAAGGGCAAAGAGAAAAAAAAACAGAUGUCUUAUUACAAGCGCAUUGUGGAAAAGGAAAGAGAAAACAAAUAGGAAAAUGUUAACAAAAGACAUGAAGAGUAAAAUGUUGAAUAAUGAUUAAAAAUGGUGAAGAAGCUACUUAUGUGUUUCCUAGAUUUUACGUAGAAUAAAUAAUAGAGAAAGAACAAAGCGUAAAAUGAAAUUCGUUAGUGAUAAAACGUCUUGUGAUACUGUCAAUAGAUUGAAUCGAAUUUAAAAUAAUAAUGAUCCAUUCGUAAGUGCAAUUUUACUCUUAUCUAGGCCAUAAGCGGGAUAUUUGGGGGAGUUGUAUGGUUUAGAUACUUAAUGUUGGGUAAGUAUUGCUGGCCCUAAAGUGCUUACUGGAUUCAUUGAAGCUCCAGUGGAUUCCAUACAUGAUAAUCCAUUAUUUUUAAAGUUCAAUAAUAACUGGCUUACAUGAAUCUAUGUUUUUCAUAUAUUCGUAAAUGAGGUGUUGCAGUGGUUUGACAAUAAUAAUAAAACUUUGUAGAAGCUUAUGAUGCAAAAGAGGAUUGAAUAUUUCUAGCGACAAAGAUGAAGGAAUAGCAAAAUGGAAAUCAUUUAAACAAAGGGUUAAUUUCACAAACGGUCACCGAAUUACUAAAUUUUAGAACUUUUAGAAACGAUCACUGAAAUUUAGAGCACUUUCAAAAAUGGUCACUGAAGUUCGUAAACUUGCAGAAAUGGUCACUAUUAGGAUGUUUAAUAAAAAUGUGAGUUUAUUUUUUUAUUAUGGAUUUAAUGGCACGUUAGGCGCAUCACAUUAGAUCGAAUAGAGAAUAAAAUAUUUCUGUUUAACAUUUUCCGAUGUUUGAUGCAAUUAGUACUAGGAUUAAAUUAACCCAAUGUUCUUACCCUCUAUUAACUAAUAUGUAAACAAAAUACUUGUAAAUAAAAUUUUCCAUUUUGAGUAAGAAAGAUGUCAUACAAGAAAAUCUGUUUAGGAAAAUAAUUCGCUCAUUAAGUUAAAGAAAAUCUUAUUAAAAAAUAUUUUCACAAAUUUUGAUUUUUCUUUACUUGUAUUAUCUUUUAGUAAUACAGUAUAACUCCAAAUGCCAAAUUAUAACAAUUCUCUCUCACCACUUAACACAAUCUUCUAAUCCGAUUCCUCCUAACUAUAUCACUCUAAUCCAAUAUAGUGUAUCAAACGUGUCCUAGUUUAUUUAUUUCUUCUAACAUGUACAAGCUACAUGUUUGUCAAAUAGACUUAAAAACAAAAGCAACCGUGAAUUGACUGGGUCCAGCUAUGAGUAUAUUGAGCAUGAUCCCGAGCAUUUUAAUUAAAAUCCAAUUCCGGUCCGGUCCCAACAAAAAAAAAAAAAAAAAAAAAAUUAAUUAGGAACCGGAACUGAAAAUUGAUUGGGUAUGAGAGGUUAUUGAAUCCUAAACCAAAAUCUUGGUUACCAAAAUGGAAUCGAUUUUCUAUACAAUUUAUAGGCUGGAAAAAAAGAGAGCAAAACUUAGAAACCCUAAUUUGUAUAGUAAUAUAGUAAUUUGUCUAAAAUUCUAAACUCUGAUACUAAGCAAUCAAGAGUCGCUCCUACCAUUUUGGCCCUUGCCUGACGUCAUAUUGUAGCAUUUCAUAGGUAUCUAACUAUAAAGUUAUGUAUCUAACCAGUAUUGUUUUAUGUCAGUUCGUUUCAAGAGAAGAAGAAUUUAAGUAUUGUUUAUAAUUAAAUUACAGCCUCUAACAUGCCUCACUUAUGGAUCGAGUAUGAUUUAUUAAGAAAAACAAUUUCUUCUCAAACUGUAAUUUAAUAUUAUUUUUUAAUUUUCUAGUGUCUUCUUCGCUUUUAGUCCCACUAUUUCCUUCUUAAAGAUUUCUUAGUUGAAUUUUCUCUCUUACACAAAAAUAUUGUCAUUAAUAGCGUGUUUAGGCAUAUGUAUUGAAAUGACACAUAUGAAAAUGUUUAUUAAAUGUAUACUAAAAAAAAUUAUGAAUAGAUUUGAACCAAAAUUGAAAUCCACAUUUUAGAUUUGAUUUAAUUCAAGUAAUUACAAGGAACCGAAUAGUUCCAUUUACAAAAUACUCGAAGUAUUCAAUUGAGACUUUCGAAGAUGUUGAUGGACUUUUUUAUAGUGAUAACUUUUGUGGAUUUCGUGGAUCUUUUAUAGAUUUGUGUAUAAUUAGCGAAAGUCUUUCAUAGACUUCUAUGGAUUUUCAUUUUAAAAUUUUAUAGACUUUUGUAAAAUUUAAUUGGCUUUUGAAAACUUUCAUUUUAAAUGGAAUUCAUGUAGAUCUGAGGUAAAAUUCUCACGUACAAGGUGUUAGUUCCCACAAAUCCCAUUUUCUUUCCCCUUCUUCUUACCAUAUAAAAAUAAAAAAAUAAAAAAAUUGAGAAAAUAAAAAUUUAAGACCUUAAUCAAAUAAAUAAUCAUCAAAAUUAUAUAUGACUCGAUGGUGUGGUGAGGUAGUGUUCUGGUUUCUUAAAGUUGAUUUUUUAGAUUGCGUAGAUCAAAAAACUAUUGUACGUUCUAAUCACACGUAAGUGCAGAAUAUUAAUUUGAGGAAUAAAGACUUAUGGGUAGUGCAGAACAUAGAAACAAAAAUCAUGCUUUUUCUUGUGGUUUGAAGUAUGAUUCUAUUGGGAUCUUAGGAUCAGAGGCUAAUAUAAAUAGAAAAACAUUAGCAGAAAUGAAAUUUGAUUUGUUUGAGGGUUGAAUAUUCUGAUUGAUGGAUAAAAAUAAAUUUUUGGUUAUGUAAGUAUCAAUUAUGCUAGUCUUAACUCGAUUUGAUGAAGACUCUUUUCCUCUUCAAUCAGAGCCAGUCCUGUGGCGAGGCCCAUGAGGCCUGCGCCUCAGGCCCAAAAUCGAGCCCAAAAUCGAAGGGGGCCCAAUUUUGAGCCCUUUUUAUUAUUUUUUUAGAUAUAGGGUUUAGAGAAAUACGUUUUCAAUCAUUUUCCUCCUACUGCUUACAAAACAGAAGUGCAAUCAAGUGAACCGACCUCCAAAUUCCAAUUCCACUUCAAGAUUUCAAGUCAGAGUUCAUAAUCAAGAAAUGGGGGUGAUGAUAAAUUGAUAAUUCUUCACAAGGCCAUACCAGUUUAGAUUAUUCUUCUAAUCUUCUGUAGCUGGCGACGAAAAUGUCGAGGCCGAGAGCUUCAAUCCAUGCUGGUAAGUGCUAAGGUUAAUCACUUAAUCUAAACUCUACCUGCAGUGCAUUUUGUUGCAAUUUUAGUUUCUUUUUGCAAAUUUAGUUUCUUGCAAUUUGCGAUUUAAUUUCUUGUGAUUUGGGUGUUUGUAAUUAGCAUCUGUGUAACUGUGUUUGGAACUUGGGAAGUGAAGCAUGAGAAAGGACUCAAAGGAGUCGGAUUUGAAUUUUCAGAGGAGCAUCUUUUCAGAUUAUUUUGCCUUUCUUGGCCGAAUUAAUUUUUUCUGUCCUAAAUGGAUGUUGUUAUUGGAUUUGCAAAAUGAAAAAUGGAAAUUUGUUCAUCAAGCUCACAUUUUUUUUGGGACAGCUCCGGAUGUCAUUUUAAUUUUGUAUUGCAUUGUUUCUGUUACCCUGUAAUGUUGAAAUUUGCAUAAAUAUUAAAAUAUGUUAUUGUAUUUGCAAAAUGGAAAAUGAAAAUGGGAAUUUGUUCAACAUAUCUUGAUUCAAGAAAUACAUCUGUCAUUGUGUCAUCUGUUAAGAAAAUGGCUUGUGAGAUUCUUGAAAUGUUUGCUGAAGGUCUGAAGAUUCAACCAAAAAAUACAUUCAGUAAGCUUCUUAUGGAUGAAGAGAGUGACUCUUUAUACAAGCUGAAUGAUGUUUAGUUGCUUACCGAUGCUCUGUUGUUACAACACAGCCUCAUAUGUUUUUUAACUUCUACUUUCAAAGUGAGUUAUGGUUAACAUUUGAAGUAUUUUCAAGUUUUGAAUCAACAGGUAAACAAUCGUGCUUGCAGGCCGCAUUUAUGAAUACUUGAUCAAUUGAAUAGACAUUAGAAUUCUGAACUUCCUUAUAUUCUUUCAUCUUAAAAUCAAUUCCAUAAUUCGAUAAUAUUUAUUUGAAUAUGGAGAUCAAUAUUCUUAUCAUGUUCAUAUUUGUAUUAGCGUGUAAUUUGAUGAUCGUGUUAAUAUUUGUAAUAGCGUUUGAUGUGAAAUCUUUGUUUCAGGGUUGGGAGUUGUGAGUCUUGUGAUAGUGGAAUUCUUGAAGGUGUAACUUAGCAGUUUUCGUCAAAAUUCUACUUGUCAGGUAAGCAAUGGCUUGCCUUAACUUGUUAUUGAAGAAAUUGAAAAUGUUUGAAGUCUUGUCAGCUUACAUAAUUGUGGCCUGGUCGGCUUAUAUGAUAGAUUAUUAGAGGAUCAACAAUUGCACAGGCACACAUAAUAACUAUAUUGAAAAUUCUAACUGUGUGAUGAUUCGAGAUAUUUUGUAAUUGUUUUUUAGGUUAAUCAUUGGGUGUCAGAUAUAGACUCAUACACCAUGCCUCCUAAAUAUGAGUCUGGUGCUCAAAAGAGAAAAAGGAAACGAAAUGAAAUUUCAUUAAUUCAAAGUCAAGUAGGGAAUAUUGGCAAGUACUUUAAAAGAAACAAUGUGAAUACGUUGAAUGAGGAUGAAGUAGAGAUUCAACCUGCAUGUGUUAAUGAAGUAUAUGAUAAGGAUGAAGAAGUGAGUCAACCUACCUACGUUAAUGUAGUAGAUGAUAAGGAAGAAGAGGUGAUGAAAUCUGCAUGUGUUAAUGAAGUAGAUGACAAGGAAGAAGAGGUUUGCUUUUCUCUAAAUUUGGAUGAUCCCGGGAAUUGGAAAAUCAUUGAUCAGAGAACAAGGGAUUACUUAGUUGAAAGGGGUCCAAAAAUAGUUGAUGACAUCUCAUUUCCAAAAGAUUGUACAAAUAGGCAUUUCAAUUCUUCACAAUAUAAGCGAUUGCUACGAAAUGGGCAAAUAAUUGAUAGAAGAUGGCUAGUAUAUUCAAUAUCUAUGGACAGGAUCUUUUGCUUUUGUUGCAAGUUCUAUAAAAAACUUAAAAAUGUUACCAGAGUUGGCCAACUUGGUAACGAUGAAUUCAAAGAUUGACAUAAUUUGCAUCGGUCUAUUAAAAGUCGUGAAGGAAAUGAAGAGCAUUUAUGUUGCAUGACUAGCUGGAUUGAAUUGGAAAAUAGGCUUCGAACAAAAACUACAAUUGAUAAAAGCGUUGAAUUGUUGAUCGAUGCGAAAAGAGAACAUUGGAGGCAUGUAUUAACAAGGAUGAUUGCUAUUGUAAAAAGACUCGCCAUAAACACCUUGCCAUUUCAAGGAGAUGAUGAGAGGCUAAAUGUUGAAAACAAUGGUAUGUUUUUACAAAUGGUGGAAAUAGUUAGCGAAUUUGAUCCAAUAAUGACAGAGCACCUUCGGCGGGCUAAUGCAAAAGAGAUUCAAUACACGUAUCUUGGCAAAAAAAUUCAAAAUCAGUUGAUAGAGUUGUUGGCUAAUGAGGUGAGAAGUGCAAUUGUCAAGAAAGUUAAACAUGCAAAAUAUUUUGCAGUUAUACUUGAUUGUAUUCCAGAUGCAAGUUAUGAGGAGCAAAUGUCGUUAAUAGUAUUAUUUGUCGAUGAUUUGGCAAACUUACCUACAGUUGAAGAACAUUGGCUUGAAUUUUUGGAGGUAGAUGACACAACAGGACUUGGACUUACAACCGAGCUUCAAAAGGUUUUGAUCAAACUCGAUUUGGAUAUUGAUGACCUUAGAGGGCAAGGGUAUGAUAACGAUCUAACAUGAGCGGGAAGCAUAAAAGUGUGCAAAGAAGAGUACAUAAAAUGAAUCCCCGAGCUUUUUAUACUCCAUGUGGCGCUCAUAGUCUAAAUCUAGCGUUAUGUGAUAUGGUGAAUUGUUGUUCCAAAGUUAUAUCCUUCUUUGGAGUGAUACAACACAUCUACACUUUGUUUUCAUCUUCUACUAAGCGAUGUCAAAUAUUUAAAGAUAAUGUAAAAGGGUUGAUUAUGAAGCCAUUGUCACAAACACGUUGGCAAAGUCAUGUUGAGAGUGUGAAGCCUAUAAUGGAGCAAAUUGCACAGAUAAGAGAAGCAUUACUUGAUUUGGCAGAAACUAACGAAGAUCCUAAAGUAAAAAGUGAAGCCGAGUCGUUGGAAACACAUGAACUUUAGAAUUUUGAAUUCUUGCUUGACAUGGUAAUCUGGUACAGGUUGUUGCAUGCAGUUAAUAUUGUGAGUAAAUUUCUUCAAACCGAAUCCAUGGAUAUUGAUCAUGCUAUCGACCUAUUGUAAGGACUUGUUUCAUUUCUUGAAGAUUAUAGAGAAAUUGGAUUUGCCAUUUCCAUGGAUGAAGCGACAAACAAAAGCAAACGAAAUGGGAAUUGAAGCUGUAUUUAUAGAAAAACACAUAAUUCGAAGAAAAAAGCAAUUUGAUGAAAACUGUAGUAAUGAGGUAAAGUAAUCAGCAGAAGAAUCAUUUAGAGUUGAGUACUUUGUUUUUAUAAUUGAUCAAGCUCUAUUUUCUCUGAGAACUCGAUUUGAACAAUUCAAACACUAUGAUGAUAUAUUUGAAUUUUUGUUUAAUUUGAAGAGGUUAAGGAGUGCAAUUUUAUCAAGUUUGUUGAACUCUUGUAUGAAUCUUGAGAAAUAUCUUGAACAUGAUGGGCUUUCGGACAUCAGUGGAGAUGAUUUAUGUUCGGAGUUACAAGUCUUGAAGAUUUAUUUACCAAAUGAAGCAACAAGAGCAAUUGAAGUGCUACACUAUUUGAAGACAUUGGAUGUUUGUUUGCUUAUAUUCCUUACAAAAUUUUGUUAACCGUAUCAGUUACAGUUGCAUCUGCGGAAAGAAGUUUCUCGAAAUUGAAGUUGAUCAACACUUAUCGCCGAUCAACUAUGUCACAAGAAAGAUUAAAAGGGUUAGCUAUGUUGUUAAUAGAAAAAAGAAAUUGUUGAGCAGCUAAGUUAUUCAGAUUUGAUUGAUUUUUUUGCCUCUAAAACAGCAAGACGAAUAGUAUUUAACUAAUUGUUUGAAAUUUAUAGUUUGAUGGUUUAUAAUAUAAAUCGUUUCUAUGAUAUAUUUUGUUAUUUUAAUGUUAGUUUUUUAAGUUAGUAAUGAGUCGCAUAAUAUACCUUUGAAUUUUGUUGCCGGGGGGGUGGGGGCUAAUUUUCAUCAUUCGCCUCAGGGCCCAUCAAACACAGAAUCGGCCCUGUCUUCAAUCUAUAAAUAAUUAUUACAAAAAAAGAAAUUAGAAAGCCAAAUCCCAUCUAAUCACCCUUGCUUAUAUGCCUAAACAUUCUCGAAUGAUUCUCCCACAAAUCCCUCAUCUCGCCUUGCAACUAAUCUACAGGAACGGUUCUGGGACCAGACAAAUGAGGCCUACGCCUCAGGCCCAGAUUCCAAGGGGGCCUCAUUUUCAGCCCAGAUUUAUUUAUUUAUUUUUAGUUGAACCAAACCCAAUGAUGAAUUCCCAAUUUCCCAAUCCCCAAUCAAAAACCCUUUUGUCCCAAACGCUCGUCUGAGUAGUCCAUCCCCUUCACAGCGUCGCCGAUCGCCUCUGUCUCUCUUCUCGACUUCCUCAUUCCGACUUCCAGAUUUCCUCUUCCUUUGAGUCAUCAGUCACGGUCCAUGGAGUCGGACACUGUCGUAGUUCACACCGGUUCUAUUCCCCUGCAGAGCGCAGUUCGCUGUUCAACCCGUUAACAAGCAAGUGCUUGGCAAUUGGCUGUUAGUUUAUUAUGUUAAGAUUAUUAAUUCCUUUUGAUUUAUAUGUUUACAUUUACACUAAGUACUAAGUAUUCAACUAUUCAUUCAUGGCUUUUACCUUUUACUUAUUAUAAUUUGGAUUACUUGAUUUUAAUUGAUAAAUGCUCUUUUUCUAUGUUACUGUUAAAUACUUAAAUGUUAAUGGGUUAACGUUAUCUAGUCUAGGAUGAAGUCGAGGACCUGAAAAUGUUCCAACUAUGUUUAAUGAUUAUUGUUUAAUAUAUAAUUUGUUGUACAAGUUUGAGAUGAAGAACUCUCAAAUCUCAAGUAAUGACUAUUGUGUGAAAUAGUUUAUAGUUAAUUUCAAUAACUUAGUUUGAUAGUUAAGGUGUGAGAAUAUAUAGUUGAGAAUUUGAGAUAUUAUUAUGUCAAUGAACUCAAGAAAAAAUAUCUUCAGUUUCUACAACUAGUAUACUAAUUUGAAUUAAUUUAUUUUGUUGAUGAAACCGUUUUAAUGGUUAUUAGUUUUUACUAAAUGUGUUAUUUCCCUAAGCUUGACUAAAUGUGCGCGUAUUUUUAAAUAUUGGCAUUUGAUGUUAAAUUUUUUUUCAGGUUCAUAAGUUAUGAGGAUGGAAUUCUCGAGGGUGUGAUUCCACAGUUUUCGCUGCAAUUCUGCUUCUUAAGUAAGCAGUGGCUUUCCCUAACUUGUUAUUUAAGAGAUUGAAAAUGUUUGGAGCCUUGUCGGCUUAUAUAAUUGCAGCUUUGUUGGCUUAUAUGAUUGAUUAUUGUAGAUUAACUAUGUCAGAAGAAAGAUAGAAUGAAUUGGUUAAGUUAUCAAUAGAGAAAGAAAUAGUUGAGCAGCUAAACUAUUCAGAUUUUAUUAAUGUUUUUGCCUCUAAAACAGUAAGACGAAUAGUAUUUAACUAAUUGUUUGAAUUAUUGUUGGUUUUGUUAUUUGAUAAUAUAAACUUUUUAUAUAAUAUAUUUGUUUGUUGUUUUAAUAUUAAAUUUUAAAUUAGCAAUAAGUUGCAUAAUACACCGUUGCAUUUACAUUGAUUUCGAGAGGGGGGCCUAAUUUAUAUGCUUUGCCUCGGGCCCUAACAAUCAUAGGACUGGCCUUGCUAAUCUACCUUGACAUUUUUGUCAUGAUGAAACUGACUCUGUAUAAAUCUUGUGGAUUUACUAAUGAUAAACGUGGGACGAGAGUUACUCAAGUUUGCUUGGAAGAGGUAAAGAAUUGUGUUGUGAUAUUUGAGGUUUGAUUGGAAUUCCAACUAAACAUUUCACCAUUUUAAAUCUACUGGUAUAAUCUGUGUUAGAGAUAAACAAAAUAUAAAACACUAAAAUAUUAAAUAAUUAAGGAGAUGAUAAAAUUAAAUGAAUAAUAAUACCAGUGGAUAAGUUAUCAUUUGUCUUCUUGUCUAAUUAAUUCUGUUGUUUCAACAUGAUAAUUUCACAUGACUAUACUUGUAGGUGUUGACCAAAGGUUGUUGACAAAUGGAGCCCAGUAUAAAAGUGAGAAUUUUUAGAACCCUCAUUGUCAGUAUAAUAGGACUUUGGAGAUGGUUUUGGUCUCAUCUGUGGCACUAGUAUUGGAGAUGGGUGACUGGAAGGGGUUGGAGGCGGUGAUUGGGGAUAGAUGUGAUAAUGGGAGGAGGGAGUGGGUUGCAUUUGACUCUUUUCUAUUCGAAUGGAGUGCUGAUGGUGACCAUGAGGACUAGAAGGGGUUGAUGCUGGAGGUUGUGAAAAGGAUAUUACUCAUCAAUAAGGUGAAAAGGAUUCUGUGAGACUGCAAGAAACAAAUGUGACUAAAUCUGAUUUGGUUGCGUACAGAUAUGCAUGCUGUUAACAUUUUUGUGAAGACCAGAAUGGAAACAUUUGGACUACUCAUGCAAGUAUGCGGAAUUUGUUGACAUCCGAAGAUUGAGUAUGUUGCUUAUGUAGCAUGAAAGCCUUACAAUUAUUGUUCCUGUUACAACAUGAAGAGUGAAACGUAUGCUAGUAGCACCAUUCUUGAUGUAGGACAUAAGGGGUAUAUUGAAAAAAGAGUACAAGUAGAAAUAAAUCAUUUUGAUUCCGAAUCGUUCCCGUAAGACCAUUUUGGAAAGAAAACAAUCGUUCCCAUACGUUGAAUUUCGGCCAUUCGAGUUUGUUUAGGCCUCGAAAACUGAUUUUUAAAGUUUUAGCGCUAUUUUUGUCAAUUCGUUUUUUUUUCUAGUUUGAUUAAACUUCUUUUUCAUUAUUUUUAGUUGUUCUAAACUAUGUUUCCAUGUAAACCCUUAUAAAUAAGAGCUUAGCUCGUUUUUUUUUUAUUAUCUUUUCAUUAAUAAAUUCGUGAGUUUAUUUUUUUUAAUUAUUUGGUGGAUUCCAAAUUGUUUGUUUUUAAGGUUUUCACUUGAAUCCCUUUCUUUCGCUGCGUCAAGUGGCAUCAGGCCCCGGCUUUCCCGUCUCUAUAUCUUUGAUUCAUAAACAUGGGUGAUGCACUAGUUACUAGGGCAGAUUUAGAUGCAACAAACCUACGAAUUGACGACCUCAUUACUUAGAUCGAAGAGAUUCGUCAAUUGCUUCUACGAGGUGCUGAAAACAAUGGGCAGAAUGAACAACGGGUAAUCAAUAAUGAGCGAGUGGCUGAGCCUCUAGUUCGUAGAGAAAAUAAUAGAAAAUGUGGAGCAGAAGACAGUGAAUUAGAGUCGGAGGAGGAGAUCGAAGUACUGUCGCAUCAUCCUAAUCGUCAAAAUCAAAAUACCUUUGAUGAUUAUCAGAUCAAAGCAGACAUUCCUCUGUUCUUUGGAAACAUGAAGAUCGAGGAAUUCUUGGAUUGGUUGGUGAAGGUUGAGAGAUUCUUUGAAAUUAUGGAUGUUUCAGAAAACAAGAUGGUUAAGAUGGUGGCAUUCUGUUUGAAAUCUGCGACAGCAGUAUGGUGGGAUCAAUUGCAGAAUGCUCGAAGGAGACUGGGAAAGAGUCAAAUUCGAACUUGAAGAAAGAUAAAGCAGUCUUUGAUGGAUCGAUUUUUUACCUGCAGAUUAUGAACAUAUUUUAUAUCGAAUGUACCUGGGAUACACACAGGGGAAUCAUACAGUGUCGGACUACACCAAUGAAUUUAUGCGAUUGUCGAAAUGGAAUAAUUUGUCAGAAUUUAAAAAUCAAAAGGUAGCCAGGCAUACUAGUGGUUUGAAGGUGGCCAUUCAAGAUAGAAUUGGGAUGCAGAAUAUUUGGACGGUGCAGGAAGCCAUUAACAUGGCGAUGAAAUCAGAGAUGAUGGAAUUUGAUAAGAGGAUGGUUUCAUACAGGAGGCCUUUACCUGCCGAAUCAUCAUUAUCCACCCCCUUAGACAAAGGAAAAGCCCCACAACAAGCCCCAGUCCAUCUUAACAGGAGUAAAGUUGAUAACAAUGGUCGUUUUGGGAACAGAAGUCAGACUCGGGGAGCACCUCAGAAUGCAAAUCCGUACGCUAAGCCCACGGGAGAAAUUUGCUAUAGAUGUCAAAAGCCUGGGCAUCGUUCCAAUAACUGUCCUGAGAGAAAGCAAGUCAAUUUGGUGGAAUCGGAGGCAGUAGAUGAGGAGGAAGAUAUUGAAGUAGAGGAUGAGUACGCGGGAGUAGAGUUUGCUGUGGAAGAAAGAGUAGAAAGACUUGCUUUGGUACUGCAACGAAUCCUUUUAUCACCUAAAGAGGAGGUACAAUGUCGUUGCAUCUUUCCCUUACUUUGUUCUCUCAAGAAUAAGUUAUGUGAAGUGGUUGUGGAUAAUGGAAGUUGUGAAAACUUUGUGUCGAAGAAGUUGUUGAAUUUGUUGAAACUACCAGUUAAAAGCUAUCCUAAACUGUAUUCACUUGGUUGGGUAAAGAGAGGUCCUUCUGUUCAAGUUGUUGAAACUUGCAAAGUACCUAUUUCCAUCAGUAAGCAUUAUAAAGAUGAAGUUAUGUGUGAUGUCAUAGACAUGGAUGCUUGCCAUAUGCUAUUAGGUCAUCCAUGGUAGUUUGAUGUGGAUUCAACUCUCAAAGGGCAUGAUAAUAUAGUACUCUUUUCAUGGGGCAGUCAUAAGAUCACUAUGGUUCCUCUCAAACAGAGGGAGAAGUCUACAAAUUAACGAACUGAGAGUUUCUUUACACUUACAAAUGAUGAGAAGGAGAUUAUGGAGUCUGUAAGAGAAUCUGAUUGCUUCUAUCCAAUUGUAGUUAAAUGGUUUUUUACAACAAAUAAAGAAGAUGAAAGUGUUCCUCUUGAGGUGCAGGAAAUAUUGACAGAAUUUGAAGAUUUGGCUUCCGAUGAAUUUUCGAAUGAGUUACCUCCUAUGAGAAAUAUUCAACACCAGAUUGAUUUGGUACCUAAAGCUAGCCUUCCAAAUUAGCCUCAUUACUAAAUGAGUUCGAAAGAGAAUGAGAUUCUAAGGGAGUAAAUUGAGGAGCCGUUGAAGAAAGGGUUUAUAAGAGAAAGUAUGAGUCCGUGUACAGUACCUAUCCUUCUAGUGCCAAAGAAGGAUGGAAAGUGGUUUAUGUGUGCCGACUGUCGUGCCAUCAACAAGAUAACAGUAAAGUACAGGUUUUCCAUUCCACGAUUAGAGGAUAUGCUAGAUAUGCAUGGGAGUUCUAAGGUCUUCUCGAGAAUAGAUCUUCGCAGUGAUUAUCACCAGAUCCGUAUUAAGCUAGGGGAUGAAUGAAAGAUUGCCUUCAAGAGCAAGGACGGAAUUUAUGAAUGGUUGGUGAUGCCAUUCGGACUUUCAAAUGCCCCAAAAUCUUUCAUGAGGAUGAUGAACCAGACUCUUCGUCCUUUUAUUGGGUCUUUUGUUGUGGUGUAUUUUGAUGGUAUCCUUAUUUACAGCAAGUCUAAGGUGAAUCACUUAGCUCACUUGAGGCAAGUCUUGGAGGUUCUGAGGGAAAAUCAUAUGUACAUCAACUUGAAGAAGUGCACAUUCUGUAGAUCUAAGCUAUUGUUUUUAGGCUUUGUGGUAGGGGAAGAUGGUUUACAUGUAGAUGAAGAGAAGACAAAAACAAUUCGAGAUUGGCCAACACCAAAGUCAAUUUCUGAAGUAAGGAGUUUUCAUGGGUUAGCAACUUUCUACAGACGAUUCACCAGACAUUUUAGUACUAUUGUGGAGCCUCUCACAGAAUGUUUGAAGAAAGGAAGGUUCAGUUGGGGAGAGGAACAAGAUAAGAGCUUCGCCUUUAUCAAAGAAAAGUUGUGCACAGCUCCAGUAUUAGCCUUGCCAAGCUUCGAGAAGAUCUUUAAGGUGGAGUGUAACGCUAGUGGUAUUGGUAUUGGGGCUGUCCUUUCUUAAGAGAAGAGGCCCGUGGCUUUCUUUCAGAAAAGUUAAGUGAUGCUAGACAGAAGUGGAGUACCUAUGAGCAAGAAUUCUAUCUAGUUGUUAGGGCUUUAAAGCUAUGGGAACACUACGUGGUACAGAAUGAGUUUGUGUUGUUCACUGAUCACCAAGCCUUGAAAUUCAUUCAUAGUCAGAAACGCAUCAGCAGGAUGCAUGCUCGGUGGGUGACUUUUCUUCAAAAUUUUCCUUUUGUAAUUAAGCAUAAAUCGAGAAGUACCAAUAAAGUUGCAGAUGCAAUGAGUCGAAGAGCUUCCUUAUUGAUCACAUUAUCACAGGAAAUUGUUGGUUUUGAGUGCUUGAAAGAGUUGUACGCAGCUGAUCUUGACUUUAAGGAGAUUUGGAAUAAGUGUGCGAAUCGGGAAUCAAUGGUAGAUUUCUAUAUUAGUGAAGGGUAUCUAUUCAAAGGCAACCAGCUUUGUAUUCCUGUUUCAUCUCUACGUGAAAAAUUGAUUUGAGAUCUACAUGGUGGAGGUCUAAGUGGACACUUAGGAUGUGACAAGACAAUAGCCAGUUUGGAGGCUAUGUAUUAUUGGCCACAGUUGAAACAGGAUGUUGGAAUUAUAGUCAGAAAGUGUUAUACUUGUCACGAGUCAAAUUGUCAAGUACAGAAUACUGGGUUGUACAUGCCACUUUCUAUCUCUCAGGGCAUAUGGCAAGAUCUAGCUAUGGACUUUGUUUUGGGAUUACCUUGUACUCAACGGGGGUAGAUUCUAUUUUUGUGGUGGUUGACAGGUUUUCCAAAAUGGUACACUUCAUAGCUUGUCGAGAGACUUCAGAUGCAUCACAUAUUGCCAAACUAUUUUUCAGGGAGAUUGUUAGAUUACAUGGAGUUCCCAAAUCUAUCACAUCAGACCGGGAUACAAAAUUUUUGGGGAACUUUUGGUUUACCUUAUGGAAGUUGUUUGGAACCAAUUUGAAUUGAAGCAGCACUGCACAUCCUCAAACUGAUGGUCAGACCAAGGUUACUAACUGUACUCUUGGUGACAUGGUUCGAAAUGUUUGUAGAGAUAAACCUAAACAGUGGGAUCUUGCACUACCUCAAGUAGAGUUCGCGUACAACAGUGUAGUUCAUACUGCUACAGGUAAGUCUCCAUUUGCUAUUGUGUAUAUAGAGGUGCCUUACCAUGUGGUGGAUUUGGUGAAAUUGCCUAAAGGUGAUAAUAAAAGUAUUGUUGCUGAACAUCUGGCAGAGGAGGUGAUAGCAGUUCAUGAUAAGGUAAAACAGAAGUUAGAGAGAACUAAUGCAAAGUAUAAGGCAUCAGUAGAUUCACAUAGGCAGGAUAAACAAUUUCAGAAAGGGGACUCAGUGAUGUUUUUUUGACAAAAGAGAGAUUUCCUGCUAAUACUUACAAUAAGCUGAAACCAAGAAAGUAUGGACCUUUCAAAGUGCUUAAACGGAUUAACAAAAAUGCUUACAUCAUUGAUUUGCUAGGGUCUAUGGGUAUUUCUCGUACAUUCAAUGUGGCAGAUUUGUAUGAGUUCCAUUAAGAUGAUAAGUCUUUGUAUUCAGAUUAUAACUCAGGGUCGAGUUUUUCGGAGGUGGAAGGAACUGAUGUAGGACAUAAGGGGUAUAUUGAAAAAAGAGUACUAGUAGAAAUAAAUCAUCUUGAUUCUAGAUCGGUUCCAUAAGACCAUUUUGGAAGGAGAACGAUGAGGGGAACAAUACUCAUCGCUACAUCGUGAUGUACGUUGAAUUUUGGCCGUUCAAGUUUGUUUAUGCCUCGAAAACUGAUUUUUAAAGUAUUAGAGCUAUUUUUGUCAAUUCGUUUAUUUUCGUUUUUUUUUUUCACAAUUCUAGUUUGAUUAAACUUAUUUUUCAUUACUUUUAGUUGUUCUAAACUACGUUUCCAUGUAAACUCUUAUAAAUAAGGGCUUAGCUCUUCUUUUUUUAUUAUCUUUUCAUUAAUAAAUUCGUGAGUUUAUUUUCUUUAUUAUUUGGUGGAUUCCAAAUUGUUUGUUUUUAAGGUUUUCGCUUGAAUUAUUUUCUUUCGCUGCGUCAAUUCUACUUGGGGACCAUGAGCGUUGCGAAUCAUAGCAGUAUCUAAUUUGUUGGAUAUUAAAACAAAUUCUACAUUUCAUAUAAAAUGACUAAUCGGCAUUUACAUUCCUUAAUUUAAACUGAACUUCAGUUAUCCAAGAUUUAUAUGAAAGUUCUGAAAUAAAUGAGAAAUUGAAAUACAUGACAUUUAGGGGCUCUAUUCCGCGAAUAUCAGCAAUUCCCUGUGAUACCACUUUUCACUUAAUUUCCGUCAAUCUCACUUCAAGCCCAACUACCCCUUGGUCGACACCUAAAUGAUCGUCACUGACUACAUCACCAGCCCCAACAUCGUGUCCGUUCGUUACUCAUCCAUGGAGAUGUUCUUCUAUGUUGUCUCCCUGGUUCGGUUCUUGUCAAAUAGGCUCCCAAGCGCACUGGUCUUGCCAGCUACUCUGUCUCCCGACGCGGUUGAUCGGACUUCAGCUUGUUUACCAUGCCUUCUUAGAUGAUGACGAGAAAUUGUGCUGGACUUGUUUUUGCAUAUUGAAGUAGCUGCUAAUGUUUUGUAGUAGAAUCUAAUGGCGACAGCGAGCCGAGAAGGCUAGUGAGCCCAAGCUCGGGGCUCAAUAUUGGCUAGUCUAAAAAAAGUCUCAAGCUUUUAGGGCUCCAGCCGAGCCAGUUCAUGGACCCUUUUUUUCUUUUUUCUUUUUUUUUUUUUAAUUCAAAUACACGAAAAAUUGAUCAUUAAUUUACAAAUUGCAAAACUAAUUAUGCAAGCUGUUGAAUAUUACAAAUUAAUUGGUCAUUAAUUUACAAACUAAAAAGAUUAAAUAUGCAAGUGGUUUAAAAGUGCGGAACACAUGAGCCCAUGAUCUCUGAGCUUGCUCUGCUAGAGUUUUUUUGUUAGUCGACCCACGAGUCGCUCGAGCUGAUGGGCUUUUUUAUUGCUACUAGUGUAAUCAUGAGUUUAGAAUACGCGGAUAGUCAUGUCAAUGUGGAUCAAUUGAUUUUUUAUUUAUUAAUCAGGAAAAUUAAUCUAAAUUGGAUCAUUUAGUCGCUUCAAGACAGAAAUAAUUUUUGAACUGUGAUUAGAGUAGGGAACGAACUAAAAUGAAGAAGGUGGAAAGGAUUGAUAGAACUUAGGGUUUGGUAUUAGGAAUGAUUUCAUAAAGGGAGAAAUUUGUAGAUGGACUGGGUAUGAACUAAUUCAGUGGGAUAUAAUUGAUGGAGUGAGACCCGUUAAAUAAUUGAAUGAGUUUAAGAAGUUGAGUGAUUUCAUCUUAUUUUUAAUUAUACUUUUAUACUACAGUACUUAUAGAAAAUAAAAAAUGUGUGUUGUACUUUUUCAAUAUUUAGCACCUGUUUGGUACGAAUUAAAAUUCAAAUUUUACUUUAAGUUAUAGUCAACAAUUAAUUUUAAUCGCAUAUUUCACUGAACUUACCACAAUAUCAUCAACUUUAUCAAAAUUUAUUAAAAAUCUGAUUUUAAUCCCCACCAUACUUUCACUUAAUUAUAAUUGUUUAUCUCAUGUAAUUUCCUCUACGUUUUUGGUGUGAUUUGGAUGGAGCAGCAAAUGCUAAGCCAAUUGUUCCGUUUAAGGUUUGUUGAUGUCCAAAUAUGGCACAUAAAACUAGGCCACGGUUCCAUUAAAUUGUCACCCAAUCCCCCCAUUUCCUCUCAUCAAAUGAACAACUACAGACUCCAUCCAAAUCUAUUCCCUAUGAAAUUCAUACCCUAGUAACUUAGCUGCAAUGCACUGAACAAUCAAUUAGUGCAUUUAUGCUCCACCAUAUCUUUCCACUCGUUUCCGUUGAUCACUCUCUCUAUCCAUAAAGAAAUGUGUAUAGACUUGUUAUGAAUUAAUUGUAAGAUAAUGAUAAUAAUGAAAUAAAUAAAUAAAAAAACACCAAAAUUUAUAUGGAAGCCCAAGAUGAGAAAACAAUCACAUACAUACAAGGAGAAUUUCACUAUAAUCGAUAAUAAAUAUGUUUACAACAAGAUCUCAAAACUAUUAAUUAAGAUCUAAGGCUCUAAAGAUGUUGUAUGAAUGUUAUGACCUCAAUACAAGUCAUAGAGAAUAUUUAUGAACCCUAAAAUCUGGAUCAACACACCACUUGAGCGCUAGGUGAGCAGCAGUCUGACACUCUAGCGCCAGGGGAGUGUCAAGCAAGCGAAAUUGCGAUGACUUUUGUUCUCAAUCCAUAAUUUUAUCUCCAAGACUAUUUCAAUCAAAGCUCCAACACCCACUAAAUUUUGGGUAAAACUACAAAAAAUCUCCACCUUGAAUCAAAUUCUAAUACAAGGAAUUCCAUAACACAUCUUUAAAGUAAACACCACUCCACCUCUUCCAAACAAGUCCCAAUAGGUUAAAUUAGUGACAAACAUCGACUAAUUCAAGCAAUGCUCAAAUUUAGUAAUAGGAAGUGGUUUUGUCAUCAUAAUAACAAGACUAUCCUUGGUAUCAAAAUUGUUCACUGCAAUAUCACCAUGAGUAAUCACAUCACGCACAAAGUGAUAUGUCACAUCAAUGUGUUUAGUCUUCUCGUAAAAAAUCAGGUCCUUAGUCAGAAAAUAACACUCUGACUAUCAAAAUACGCUGGAAAUCAGCAAAUCUUUAUUGAUUUCACUAAUCAAUACCUUCAAUCACAUAGCCACCUUACAUGCCUCUAGAAUGGCUAUAUACUUUGUCUCUAUUGUAGACAAUGCUACCGUAUUCUACAAAGUAGUUUUACAACUGAUAGCACAGCUUCCAAGGGUAAAUACAUGCCCUGUAAGUGAUCUCCUCUUAUCAAGAUCCUGUGCAUAAUCUAAAUCCACAUACCCAAUAACUCCAUUUAUAUUUCUACCAAAAUACAAGCAAACAUUAAUAGAGACUCCUCAAGUAUCUGAAUAUUUACUACUUCGCUUUCCAAUGUUCAUUGCCAGUAUUUGCCAUGUACCUAUUAACUGCAUUGAGUGUAUGUGCCAAAUUCGAUCUUGUACAAACCAUAGCAUAUAUAAGCAAACCAACUGCAUUGAAUAAGGAAUCCAAAACAUAUAAUCAAUGUCUUCAUCUGACUGAGGACACAAGUCAAAUAAUAAUUUAAAGUGGGCAGCUAAGAAGUACUGACAGCCUUCGCAUUAAACAUCCUAUCCCUCAAGAUCUCCAUACCAAGAAUUUUCCUUGCUAUACCCAAGUCUUUCAUCUCAAAUUCUUCACAAAGUGGAGCUUUCACUUUUCUGACCUCUACAUUAUCCUUUAUUGCUAUGAGCAUAUCAUCAACAUAUAACAAUAGAUAUGUAAAUGAUCCAUCAUCUCCCUUUACGACGUAUACACAACUACCAUAUUACUUCUAAGAAAUUAAGAGUAGUCAUGAAUGUAUCAAAUCUACUGCUUCAGUCUAUACAAGGACUUAUUCAACAAGCACACAUAGUUUUCCUUUUCACAGACUAUGAAAACCUUUGUUUGUUGCAUGUAAAUGCUUUCCUCAAGUUCUCUAUACAAGAAUGAUGUCUUCACAUCCAUCUGUUUAAGCUCAAAGUCAUUCUUAGCCACGACUCUAAGUAAAGCUCUAAUUGAGUUAUGUUUUGCUAUAGGUAAGAAUAUAUCAGUGAGUCAAAAAAGGAAUCUAACAGUAGUCCUUUGCGGCUAAUCUAGCCUUGUACAUUGGCUCUUUAGCUUUUGCUGUGCCUUAUUUUCUUUUGAAUGCCCAAUUGCAGUGAACAACCUUCUUUUCCUUGGAUAAUUUCUCAAAAUCCUCAGUGCUAUUUUUAUUUAAUAACUCCAUACCACAUACAUAACGAUCAACAAUCUACUAGAACCAUUACAACUGACUACAUCUGAAUAUAUAAUAGACUCGUCACUGCAGCUAACUACAUCUGAGCUAGACUAAUCUGAAGUAUCCUAUUUUGAAACCUCUAAUGUUCUCCUAAACCAAUUUCCAACUCCACCUGAGUUGAACGAUUAUGUUCCUCAAUUUUAUAAGAAUCCCACAAGGCGAAUGAUGAACCAUAAAAAGUUCAUCAAAUACUACAUCUCUACUAUCUACUACAUUUUAUACCUUAGGAUGCAACAAUUUAUACCAUUCACACCUAAUUUAUACUCAAGAAAGAUGCAAUUUCUACACCUAGGCUCCAACUUCCAAUUAUUUACAUGAGCAUAAGCAGGACACUUAAAAAUCUUCAAAUCGGAAUAAUGAGAAAGUUUUCCAAACCAUACCUCAUCGGUAUCUUUUUCGCAAUGACAAUUGAGGAUAAGUGACUAAUCAGAAAACAAGCUAUAGUAGUAGCUUCAACCAAAAAAGUCUUAGGCGUCCUAGAAUUUAAAAGUAUAUAACGAAUAUUUUUCAUCAAUGUUCUAUUCAUCCAUUUUCCGAAACUAUUUUGCUGCAAAUUUCUAGGCACUGUGUUUUUCAAGAUGCUUUCAACACUAUAGAAGCUAUUAAAUUUUUCUAAAUAAAAUUUCAACACAUUAUAUGCAUAGACGUUUCGCCUGCAUCCCAAUCUACUUUUCUAUCAUUAUUUUCCAAUUUCUGAAGAUUCCAAACACAUCACUUUUUGUUUUAAAAAGAAUAUUGUUUAAACAUUUCUGGAAAAAUCAUCAUUUACUGUUAACAAGUAAUAAGCACCUCCUAUGGAAGGCACCCUAGCUGAUUCCCAAUGAUCUGAAUGGAUGUACUCAAGUGUUUUCCUCGUGUUGUGUCUGCCUCUAGCGAAUGUGUUCACUAAAAGUAUAAAUCGCAAGUGAACGGACGUUUCAAGUAAUAAAGUGGACUUUAUGAGUCUGAGUUGUCGAUCUUUGGAGGAAUGUUUACUUUUGAUUACACAACUUUAAUCAAUUUAAUUUUAACAAGAAAAUAGACAUAUUUAAGAUUAGGAUUUGAAAAUAAGGAAAAAUAACUAACUAUCGACAAAAUAAGAAAACAUGAACACUUGAAAAUUUUGGAAGAAAAUGUUGUUGGAAUUCAUGGUUUUGUUUAACCAUCGCCUAAUUAAUUUCUCUACAAGCUAAUUAAUAAAUUACUCAUUUACAUUGUUAGACAUCAUUUUUCAAUUUUAGUUAAUUACCUCUAUCGAGCAAUAUUAACCCUAACUGAUUGGUUUAACCUACUAUAUCUCUACAUCGAUUAAAAUCAAAUAAACACAUUAAAUCUUUAUGAAAAUAGUUCAAUGGAUCAUCAGGGAUUAGGAUUAUAUUUUUAUCGCCUACAAGGACGUAGUGUAUAAAAUAUACAAUCUUUUUCUUGGACGAUGUACAAAUCACUAAAAUCAAUCAUUUAAUGGCCAAAUCACUAAAAGGCAUUCAGCACAACAAUAAAUACACAUGAAAAUAGGUAUUUUAAUACUAAAAAAGCAAAUAUUGAAGUUAAUUAAAGCUAGGUUAAAUUACUAGCAUAAAUUCCAACACAAAUAUUUAGGCCAUGUUAUAUAAAUGAUACAAAUGAGAAUAUUUUAUACAAUAUAUUGGAAAUUGACGAUAAUAAUGAAGAAAAUAUAAGAGUGGAGAUAAAACCAUUUUGGAUUUGGAUUUGGAUUUAGAUUCUUGAUGGCUUGAUCUUGAUUUUUCCCAAUUAUUUUUCCGAAAGUAUUCUCCCUGUGCUCUUUUUUUUCCUCCUAAAAAUGCCAAGAAAAUCAAGAGAAAGGGAAAAGGAAAAAGAAAAUGAAAGGAAAAGAGAGAAAAUGAAAAGAAAAGAGAAGAAGGAAGAGGAAAACACGAUAUAGAGAACGAGAGAAUGCUUGGCUGAAUAUUUUUUUCUUUUAAAACCCUAAAAGUGUGCCCAAAAUAUUACCAAACAUCUCCUUGAAUUAUGCAAAACACAAAAAACAUUCCCAGUCGAAAUGGGGAGUCGCGAUGCUAAAAAGGGAUUCCUUAGCGCCCAGUUGCUACAGUGGCGCAUAGGCACUAUCCCCCUUUUCAGCAAUUUGCAGUUGAAGACCUCCAACAUUUUGCACACUAGGUCCCUCAACUAUGAUUUUGUAGAACUUGAUCCUCAAUUUUUGAUUUUUCUUUUGAUUAGGUCCUUCACAAAUUGAAAAAUAAAGUCUUUGAACUUUUGUAACUUGUACACUUUGGUCCUCAACGUCAUAAAAUUUUGUUUGAAUUUAAUCUACUUUCUCUUCUGUUUGCCCUAUUCUCCUUCCAUUUGAGGUUUAUGACCUACAAAAGUCAAAAUUACCCAGUUGUGAGUUGAUAUCUACUCUUUUAAUCAAUAAUAAGCAUAUUUAUGUAUUAAAUAAGUUUGCAAAAACAUACCUAUCACAAUACUCACAAAACUUCAUCUUACACGUCUUCUACCUAUCAAGAAGUCCUCACCUACCCAAUUCUUCCCUGCCAUUCUCACUCAUAUACCCAAGCCACAUAUGUCAAAGUUUUGUGACUUCUUCAUCCGCUAAAGAAGAAGUGGUAACUGCUACAUCCACUGUAACAUUGGAAUCCUGCAAAAUUUACAAUGGAGUAGAAAUUUUGUCCCUUCAUGACUACAAGAGACUUUUGAAGAGUACUUAAAGAUAUGAGAAUCCUCUUCAAUUUUUGAACAUACCUUACAUCUAUAAGAGCAUCUCCAAGAGACUUUUUAAAUAUGAGAGACUCUCUAUUUAGAUAGUCGACCUUCAAAAUAUGCUCCAAGAGAUUCUUUAAAUUAAUAUUUUAAUUUAGAUAGUGGGUUUGGCUAUUUGGAGAGCCAAACUCACUCUCUAUACUUAAAUGAAUUCAAAGUGUUUCAAUUUUCAAUGUAAGAAAGUAUUAAAAUAAUCUCCAGAAAGGCUAGUUAAAAUCAAAUAUGGUGAAAAAUAAUAAAUAUUUUUUGUGAGUAGUAAACUUAAGUACUAAAUAUGAAGAUCUUGUAGCUGUACUUCAAAAUUUUAACUCUUUAAAUUUGUAGAUGUUUUCCAAAUGAUAGAAUAUGUUCUUGAAAAAUAUAAAGUCUCGUUGAGAAGCUCUAAAUGUUUUAAUAAUCCUAUUGAACAUCCUGAUUUUGACUGAACCAACUCAUACAAUUUUGUAAGGUGUGUUGUUUCCCAUAAGAUUAUGAAACAUGAUUUUCACUUCCACUUGAAUUGGUUUUUUUUUUUUACAUUCUUGUGAUGCCUAUGUGUAAUGGAUUAUUGUAGAUUAGAUAGGUAUGCAUCAUGUGGUGUACACUAAGUUUGUGUAGUGGAUUAUUGAUAUAAUAGUCAGUUUACACACGGUCGUGAUGUUUAUAAGAAUGUAAUGCAGAAUUAAAUCAGCAAACAAAGUAUGUUAUAGACAUCGUAUGUACACUACUUACAUGUCUAGAAGGUCAGCAAUACAUACACGAAACAUUUUUAUGUUGUGACCUAACAGAAAAUGAACAAAAAAUAUGAACUGGUUAUCAGGUUGUUAUUAUAUCAUUGACAGAUGAAAUAUUCUAUCAGAAAUUGUAAACUAAUGCAAAAUUAGAUUAUAAACAGAGAUAAGUGCAGUAGAGGCUCCAAAUCUUUCAAACGCUUGAAGGCUUUCUCCUAGCCUUUUAAUUGCUGCAAUCAUCAUCCUAAAACCUUUCAAAUCGUAGAAGCUGAGGUUCAAAUGGAUGGAUUUUGUCCACAUAUCUUUUAGUUGACCAAAAAAUUAAGUUUAACCAUUUUUUUUAAUAAUUUGAAAAGGGUAAGAUAGUAAUCUUAUGUUUAUCACAUUAAGCAAUUAAAAACAUUACAUGAAAAAUAAAGUAACUAAAAAUAAAAGAAAAUAAACAUCAUCUAUUGCAAGUGAUAGUUUGUAAGUGUUAUACCCUAGUCCAAUCAAUUUAAGUUGUAGGCACUUUUAAUAUGAUGAAUGCACUUGAUAUUUUGACAAGAUCUAUUAUUUAAUUGAAUUUAUUUUCUAAUAUAUUUAAUUAAUAGAAUCCAAAAAUCAAAGUCUUUGUAACUUGUUAAUCAACAAGUGUUAUGACCAUGAGAGGCAAAUUACAUAUGACUGAAUCUUGGAUUAUUCUUGGUCAUAAGUAAUAACGGGAUAUGAAUAUCGUGAUUAUAAUUAGACCAUCACGUACAGCUCACUUUUCAACUGAGUAGCAAAUCUCACAAAUUAAAACGUAGUGAUAUUUAAAUGAACACAUAGAUAUUUUGUUAAAGAACAAAACAUUGGAGACCCACUUGAGAGAUUUCAUAUGUAUAACUAUUUGAGCAUCAGUGAUUAAUCAAUAGAUAAUUUGUCUUCUUAGAUAGCAAGAGAUUAUGAUCUACAUUUCAUUCAAAUAAGUUGAUAAUGAAAUCAUUGGUCAAGGUUCACUGAUAAGUCGAAAAGAGUUUUAGACUUAUAUUGACUUAAGAGUGGGAAGAAAGAUAUGAUUGAUAAUAUGAUUAAUACACUUUCAUAUAUCAUAAUUGAUCUGAUCAUAUUGAAGAAGAGAUUAUAGUUUCACGAUAUAGGAACAAAUUUGUUUUUUAUACCACGUGACAUUUUUCAUCACGUGUUGCCCUAACAUAUUGCUAGAUAUCAAUUUGGGACGACGAAUGUGAAUUGAUGAUGAAUUAAAUGGGGUAUUUUAAUUUAUCAAUUCUAAUUAGAUCAAAAUAAUAAUUUAUAUCUUUAUGCAUUGUGAUUGGAAACCUAAUGAGUUACACAAAAGGAGAACUAAAAUAAUGAUAAGUGUUGGACACUUGAACAAUUAAUUGAUUUUUUUGCUUAUUAAUUGAUCAAAUUAAUUAAUUAAAGGGCCAAGUUAAAGUAAUUAAAUAUUGGAUCGGGUUAAAUUUAAGAAUCGGGCCAGGUCCUCUUGGAAUUAUAUUAAUAAGCUAGUAGGGAAUAGAAAUUAGAACAUACACAACUAUUAUCUUGCUAGCUCAAGAAAACAAAAAAUCUAGUUCUCUCAUUCUUGUUCAUUGUACGGAUUUUCAUUAGAGGCUCAACUAUUAAACAGUUGUCAAUUGCAAAUUAGAAUCGUUCUUCAUAGAAUUAACUAAUGGUAUAAUUCUUAUCAUAUUUCUUUCUAAACACAAAGCACAUUCUUGGUGGAAAUUGAAAUAUUUUUUAAAUUCCAUUGUACGUAUUAAGUAAGUUAACAAUAGUGCUAUCAGAGCCUACUUUGUGCUUGUUAGAAACUAUUUUACAUAUUGGAAUAAUCAAAUGUUGAUUGUUAUUAUUUUUUUGUAUCUAGUAUUUUAGAAAAAUAUAUUUUCAAGUUUUUUAAUAUCUAUGUUUGAAAAAAAUUGAUUUUUGGGUCAAAAAUCGGAUCAGGGGGAGUGGCCGGCAGCAAUAGCCAUUUUGACACAGACCGCAUGUGCAAUCGCUUCGUGGUGACUGCAUGGUAGUUAUUCAUGAAGCAAUGCGCAGUGCCGGCGAAUGCUGCUGCUACUAUUGUAGUAAUAGUGUUGGCUGCUGUUUAUAGCAAUGUACGACGUUGCUACAAUAGCAGCACACGAUGCUACUGUGGCGAGCGGGGCACCUUAUGUCGCCUAUUACAACACCUACUUCGCCAGAAUAUUAGGAAAGAGCUUUAGGGUUUUGGGUGAAUUUGGGUAUAGGGGGCUCCUUAGGUAAUUUCUGAAAUUGUGAGACCUUCUUGCAAUGAAAUAAAGGAUCAAAUUGCAAUUUUAAAAUAAAGGACGUGUCAUACAAUUUUCAAAAUUGAAGGACCUGUUUAGUUUAAAACUGAGGGUCGGAUUGCAAUUUUCAAAUUUUGGUUUUUUUUAAUAUCAAUUUCAAAAGGAUUUUAAUGAUUUUUAUUUAACAUUCGAUCUCGACCCGUUUAGAAUUUUAUUUUAGUUGUAGACUUGUAUAUUAUAGUUAAAAUUGGAUUAUAACUUAAAUAUUAAACUUUGACCCUAAAUCAAGUUUUAUUUAAUCAAAUUUUAUCCAAAAUUAAAAUAUUUAUUCAAUUCGUAUUAGAAUUGGACUCUAAUUUGAUAUUUACUUAAAAUUUGAUUGUAAUUAAAUUAUUCCAUCCUAAUAUAUAUUCUUACAAUCAAAAUUGGAAUCUAACUUGAUAUUUAAUUAAAAUUUAAUUUUCAUUAAAUAAAACUACUAAUUAAUUUAAUUAAUUAAUUAUAUAAUUGUUUCCAAUCCAUUAUCUAUAGGACUGCGAGCUCUUAUUAUUUUAUUUUUUUUGGGACUCGUGAGUCCACAUAUAAUUCAAUUAGCCCUGUAUAACAAAUAGUAUAGGAUAUAGAUUGCAGUUGGAUUAAUUGAAGAAGUAAAAUGAUGAGGAUGUCAUAGAGAUAGUGGAUUACAUGAGUCAAUGCAUUACUCCCUAAGGAACUGACCAACUAGUGUUUCCUUUAGCUUGGGAAUGCUAGAUAAUAUUAGUCCAAAAUUAUCUACACUGUAGUGUGUAUGUUUAUCUGCAUGCCUGGUUUAUGGUAGAAUAGGUAUAAUUAUUAUGAUGAGACCUUUGCAUGAUAAAUCCCUCAAUAAAAUAUUAAGUCAAUUUAUUAUUCGUCUUUCAUCGUUAUAGUGAAAAACGAAAGUCUUAAAUCGAUCUCAGCUUUUGAGUACACUUAAGGCUAGUCUUUUAGGGAUAUAUUGAACACAAUGAAAUAUUAGAUAUUUCUUAAAGGAUGGGUUCGAUUUAACUUCUUUUUUUUCUCAAGCAGAUAAAUUCUGUAGGCAUAAUAAACUAGCAUAUAAGAUGUGUGAAGAUAGAGAGUUGCAAACUUAAUGAUCUAGGAGUUCUAUGGAGAUAAAAUUGAAAAUAAUAUCAAUUACAAAUGCUUUAUUAAGGUAUCUUGAGUACGCUCAAUAUUUUAGUAUAACAAAUGGGAUUCUACUCCACUUGGAAUCAAGUCCGGAUUUUAUUAAUUUAUGUGUGAGGAUCAUAAAUUUAUUUUAAACUAUGGGAACCUAUUUAAUCUAAUUAAAGUUCAUAUUAAAUUAUGCAAUGCAUUUUAAUUUAUAUUAGUAAAGUUCUUUACUUUUCGUUAUUUAUAGUUUUUGAUUCAUGAGUAACCACAUAAAUUUGAGAGGCAUACUAACGCCAACAAACUGAUUGGUCCAAAUUUUCUCGAUUGGCAUCGCAAUUCGAGAAUUGUUCUUGAGCAUGAGAAAAUUGGUUAUGUCCUUGGGUAGCCCCAGAGACACCUACUAUGGAUUCGACUGAGAAAGAGGUGUCAUUUUACAAUAAACACAGUGAUGACGAUAAUACUUCAGCAUGUGUGAUGCUUGUAGUUAUGUCACGUGACUUACAUAAGCAACAUAAUGGUAUAGAUAUUAACACUAUGUUUUUCAUCUAAAAGAGUUAUAUGGUGACUAAUCACGUGUGGAAAGAUAUGAGACUUCCAAGCGACUAUACCGGUGCGAAAUACAAAAGUAUCUUUUGUCAGUGUUUAUGUACUGAAGAUAAUUCGCUUUAUUGAGAAGUUUGCUCAAUUAUGUUUAUUGAUGGACCAUGAUCAAAGUGUUAACUUGGUUCUGUAAUCUCUAUUAGCGAGUUAUUCACAAUUCAUUAUGAAUUUCAACAUAAAUAAGUUUGAAUGCACUCUCCCUGAGUUUCUGAACAUGGUUUAGAUUACUAAGUCCAUUGUCAAAGCUAGUAGUGGGCAUGUCUUAGCCAUUCAUUCAUCCAAAGACACUAAGAGAAAGACUAAAUGGAGGUUUGAAAAAAAAUCCAAAGAGGCUAAGAUCAAUAACAAGAGAGUUAAAGAGAACAAGGACAAUAACAAGUCCGAGCUAUCAUUAUGAAAUGAAAGGUCAUUGAAAGUGGAACUGCAAAGCUUAUCUCGCCAGCUUGAAGGGAAAUAAAUUUUCUGAAGCUUCCACUUUAGAUAUAUUGGUAAUUGAGGUUAAUUUAUCUACUACAUUACCUUCUUGGGAAUUAGAUACUAGAUGUGGAUCUCAUAUUUGUAUAAAUAUGUAUAGGUUAAAGAAAAAUAGACCACUGCAAAAAAGAUAAGUUAACCUGCAAAAAUGGAGGAAGAGUUGCUACAUUAGCUAUAGGAUUAUACUUCUUACCGUUGCCUUCAGGCUUAGUAUUAGAAUUAGAGAAUUUUUAUUCUAUUCUCGCCAUUAUCGAAACAUUAUUUCUAUUUCGUGUUUGGACAUGAGUGGUUUUUCCAUUACUGUUAAGGACAAUCAUUGUUCUAUUUAUCGAGAUGAGAUCUUUUACGGCUAUGGUAUAUUACAAAAGGCAUUUAUCUUUUUGAUACUAAGUCAUCUAUUAUGAGUAAAACAAAAGGCAUAAAAGUGACGACCUAAAUAAUAACUAUUAUUAGCAUUGCAAACGAGAUCAUAUAAAUGAGAAAUGAAUUUUCAAAUUACAUAGAUAUGAAUAUUUGGGGUCAACUAAUUUUGAAUCAUUUGACAAAUGCGAAUCAUACCUGUUGAGCAAAAUGACCAAAGUUCCUUUAACUAGAAAAUGAGAGAGAGCUAUAUAAUUUUUGGGACUAAUACAAACUGAUUUAUGUGAACCCAUGCCAGUCAUCACUAGAUCUGUUUUCUCUUCCUUCAUCACAGUGACUGAUGACCACUCUAGAUAUGGUUAUGUACACUUGAUGAUGUUCAAGCAUGAAGCACUUAAAAAGUUUAAGAAAUUCAAACAAGAAGUAGAGAAACAAAUAGGUAAAGAUAGUCUCACGCAAAGAUUUGACGAGAUGGAAAAUAUCUGAAAGGAAAAUAUUAUCACAAAGAUUUGAUCGAGUUGGAAAAUAUCUGAAAGAAGAAUUUUUAGAUUAUCUAAAAGAGAAUAGGAUGCUCUCAUAGUGGAUUCCGCCACAUAUGCUGCAACAUAACGACAUAUUCAAAUGGAAGAAUUGUACACUAUUAGAUAUAGUGUGAUCCAUGAUAAGCCAUGCAAACAUCUUAAAAUCAUUUUGGGGUCAUGCAUUGAUUGUUGCGUGCUACACAUUAAAUUGUGUCCCAUCUAAGUUUGUUAACAAAACUCCAUAUGAGUUACGCAAAGGCAGAAGGCCUAACUUUUAUCAUGUUAAAGUUUGGGGUUGAUGCUUAUGUGAAAUGUACUGAAUUAGAUAAGCUUAAGGCGAAAUCCAAUAAAUACAUAUUUGUGCGAUAACAAAAAAAGACAAUUGGAUAUCAAUUCUAUAAUCCUAUCAAGAAAAAAGUGUUCGUCUCAAGACAUACUAUAUUUUUAGAAAAAGACUUCACUCUAGGAUAGUGGAGUUGGAACAAAUUAUAACUUCAAGAAGUUCAAGAAUCCAAAGAUAUAAUUGAUCAAGAAAUAGAGACUCUUGAGGACACCUCAUCUUAGCAUUAGUCAAGUAAGAUCGUUCGACCACCUAGAAGAAAUGAAUUUACGAUUAUUAAUUAGGUAUUAUUAAUUGAGGAUGAUAAACCCACAAAUUCUACAGAAGCAAAGUCAAGCAUUAACUCAAAGAGAUGGUACUGUUGACCUAUGCUUGAUUUCAUAUUUUAAUUAUAACAAACAAAUUGCUUUCAUAUCUAAUAAUUGAAUUCGAGUCGCUAUAGCUAUUGCUACAAAAUUGGUCAAUUGAAGACAAGGAGAACGAUACUGAAAGACUCACAAUUGAUGUUCAUUGAAAAUUGAGACAGAAGCCGAACAUUCACUUCAAAUCAAUCAAAGACAAGUAAUUCAACAAUCAAACAUCAAAGACAUUGGAAUUUUACUUUUUUGGAUUCACAUGUAAAGGUAAAAUGCUUUAAUCCUUAGUAAUGAAUCAUUAAAAGCUCAAGAUGAAUUACAAGAAUUUUUUUUUUCUAAAUGAUUGCAUAAAAUUAUUUUCCAAAAGAUAAGAAUUUCAAUUCAAACUUCUCACGAAUGUCACUUACCUUGAAAAAUUAAGCAAAAACUUCCUUCAAAGGUCUAUGUGUUUCAAAACAAUCAAAGAAGGAAAAAUCCCGGAAAACACUGUCCAAACGAACUUUUGGUUUGUCCAACAGUAGAAUUUUUUAACCAUCCUGAAAUUUUCAUGCACAAUAACUAGUUCAGUAUCCAAUUUAGAAGCGGAUGUCCGAUUUAGCCAUCCAAUUGGUUAGAACUUUUGGCGUUUUAACUGCUAUAAAUAUCACUUCACAAUGCAUUCAUACAACACUUUAGAGAGAAAUGAAGUGAGAUAAUCUUAAACCAAAUUAUUGAAUGCGCCUCUUAUUUAUUAUCAAAUCAUUUAUUUCUUGAAAAACUUUUGUUUGAAUUAACUUUUGAAAAUCAUUCUUCUCUUCAAAAUUUUUCUUACCUAACACUUGAGCUUCAUUCAUUAUUAAUUAUAUAAAUGUUAGCCUGUCUCUCUCUUGGUAUUUAAUUUUGAUUAUAUUAUUUAUUAAGAGAGAAGUUCAAAAUGUAAACUUAUUGCUUUUUGAAUUUGUAGGUCGUAUAGAGGUCCUGUAAACUCUCAUUGUAUAAAGAUCGGUGCUUAUUGAUUGUAAGUCAUCGAAAGUAUUAUAAAGGGUUGGAUUACAUCAUAAGUCAAUCAAUAUAAUGAUAAAAGCCUUGCUCAUACCGGAGAGCUUGGUAACGAUAGACGUAGAUCAUUGCUUGGGAUCUAACAUCCACUAUUACAUCGUUUGCACACUCUCUUCUCUUUUACUUAUUGUUUUUGUAUUUGUUCAUAUUUGUUUGGUUGACUUAUUUUCUAUCAAAUUUGUCUAAAUUUAGAUUAAAUUGCAAAAGAGUUCUUAGUAACGAAUUCACCUCCCUUAACCAUUCUUGGGUUAUCAAUUGGUAUCCAAACAAGGUGCUCAUUUUCAAAGAUUUCACAAUAUUGAGUAAUGGCUAACCCCAGUCUUCAAAAUUUUAAGGGACAUUCUACAAAUCGUCCUCCUUUUCUUUGAUGGCACACAUUAUAAUUAUUGAAAAAGCUAGUAUGAUGAUUUACAUUUAAUCAAUAGAUUACAAUAUUUGGGAAAUUAUUGAAUAAGGUCCUUAUAUGCCUAUUAAGACUAUUAAAGUUGAUGGCAAAUCAGAUCAAACUAUUCCUAAACCUAGAGAGGAAUAUGAUGAAGAGGAUAAAAGAAAAUUACCCUUAAAUACUAGAGCCAAAAACCUACUUUAUUCUGCAUUAGAUAAAAAUGAAUUUAAUCAUAUUAGCACAUGUGAUUCGGCACAUGACAUUUGGCAUGCAUUAGAAGUUACCCAUGUAGGUGCUAGUAAAGUAAAGGAUUCCAAAAUUAAUCUCUUAGUUAAAGAAUUUGAAAACUUCUUUAUGAAACAAGGCGUACCUAUUGUUGAUAUGAUUACUCGCUUCACCGAUAUUGUUAAUGGCCUUAAAGGCUUUGAUCACAAAUUUACUAAUGGUGAGCUUGUGAGUAAAAUGCUUAGGUCACGAUCGGAAGAAUGUGGCUCAUUAAGGAUGUUGAUAGAUAAUACCAAAGAUAUCAACUCAUGUCCUUCAGAAGAACUAUAUGGAACCUUGAUGAUGUACAAGCUCAACAACGUCGAAAUCAAGGAGAAAACAAUGAAAAGCAAAGAAGAAUCUAAGGAAUCUUCAAAGCACCGAAUUGCUAUAAAAUUGGAAAUUGAAGAAGGAACUACAAGGCAAAAUAUGAGUGAUAAAGAACUUGAUGAUCUAGUCCUUCUUGUCAAGAAAUGGAGAGGUCUUCAAAAUAAUCAAAGAUUCCAAAACAAAGAAGAAAAGAUUGGAGGAGAAGCAAGAAAAUCAUUUGUUAUGAUUGUGACGAACUCGAUUACAAGAGAACCGAGUGCCCAAACAUAAAGAAAAACAUCACAUAAAAGGCAUUCCAAGCUACAUGGAAUCAGAGCAACAAUGAUCGCAAUGAAAAUGAUAGCCAAGAAAAAAUUAUCAACAUGUGCUUCAUGGCAAUUGAAGAUGAGGUAAGUUCUAUGAGAUAUCUACCUCCUACGAUGAAAUUCUUGAGGAAUUUGAGAGCUUGCUCUAAAUUAGUCAACUCUUAAAAAUGAAUAUCACUUGUUGACAAAUGAAAUGAAGAAAGUCUUAGAAACAAAAAGAAAAUAUUGAUUAUGAUCAAUUGAUUAAAGAAAACUCUUCCUUGAAAAGAAAAAUUUGAAAACUUGACUUAAAUUAUUCAUAAAUUCACUCAAGGUAAAAAGAAUUUUAAUAUAAUACUUGGUGAUCAAAAGUGUGUUUUUGAUAAAGGAGGAAUUGGAUAUAAACCAUUUUUAAAACAAAAAUCUUUCAAAAAUUUAUUUGUCAAAGCUUCAAAUACCCCUCCUUCAAAAACUGCAUGUAGCUUUUGCAAUAACGAUGGACAUAUUGCUUAUAGUUGUCUAACCAAAAGAAGGUACAUUUUGAAAGAAAGAACAAGUGGAUUCACUACCAAGGACCUAAACUUAUAUGGAUACCAAAAAUAAAAAAUUAAACUAUUUGCUUGUAGGUACCAAAAAGGAUAAAGAGCAAAUGGUUCUUGGAUAUUGGAUGUUCUAAAACACAUGACUGGAGAUAAAAUGUUACUAUAAAAUUUCAAAAAGAAUGAUGGAAGUCAUGUCACAUUUGGAGACAAUGUAAGUGGAUACAUGGUUGUAGCAUAGGAGAUUAGGUCAUGUUAACACGGAUAUUCUUUUAAAAAUUUCAAAAAUCAUUUCAUUAGAGGACUGCCAAAUUUAAAGUUUGAUAAAGAUAAAAUUUGUGAUGUAUAUCAAUUUGGUAAACAAGUGAAAACUCAUUCAAACCCAAGCUAUAUUCUUCAACUACAAAACCACUUCAACUCUCCACAUUGAUCUUUUUGGAACUUCUAGAACCGCUAGCUUGGGUGGAAACAUUAAGCUUUUAUCGCUAUUGAUGUCUUCUCUAGAUUCACUUGAGUUCUAUUUCUAAAUGUUAAAGAUAAAGCUUUGAAUACAUUCAAACACUUUUGCAAAAGGGUCCAAAAUGAAAGGGAUGUUCCAUUACUACUAUUAGAAAUGAUCAUGGAAGAGAAUUUGACAACAUUGCUUUUGACAAUUUUUGCAAUAAAAAUGGAUAUGAACAUAAUUUUUUGACUCCUAAAACUCUUCAACAAAAUGGUGUAGUAAAAAGGAAGAAUCACACUAUACAAGAAAUGGCUAAGACCAUGCUAAAUGAAAAUAGCAUGCCAAAAUAUUUUUGGGCCGAAGCCAUUAACACCGCUUGCUAUAUUGUAAAUAGAGUUUUAGUAAGUUGAAAGAAAAUAAAACUCCCUGUGAGUUUUGAAAAAAUAGAACUCCAAAUAUCGAUUAUUUCAAAGUUUUUGGUUGCAAACGGUUUAUUUUAAACACAAAAAAAUUUGGAAAAUUUUGAUUCUAAAAUAGAACUCUUGUCGUUGGGGAAUCCAUGCAUGUCGCUUUCGGUAAAACUAACCCUCUUGAUCGUGAGAAAAAUAUUGAUAAUGAAGUAGGUUUGAAAAUUCCUCUUGAACAAAUGACUAUUCAAGAUCAAAACAAGGGGGAUCCAAAAGAUGAACACAAGGAAGAAACAAAUGCUCAAAAUGAAGAAGAACCUACCAAAGUAACAAGUGAUCCAUCUCUGCCAAAAUAAUGGAGAUUCGCUCAUUCUCACCCAAAAGAAGUAAUUAUUUGUGAUAUGCUUUCAUUUCUAAAAUAGAACUAAAGAAUUUUAAUGAAUCUGACUUUGAUGAAUUUUGGAUACUAGCCAUGCAAGAAGAACUAAAUCAAUUUGAAAGAAAUUAUGUUUGGGAUUUACUCGAUAGACCAAAUGAUCAAACAGUUAUUGAUAUAAAUGGGUUUUUAGAAAUAAAAGGGAUGAAAAUGAGAUAAUUGUACGUAACAAGGCUAGAUUAGUGGCCCGGGGUUACGAUCAAGAAGAAAGCAUCGAUUAUGAGGAAACUUUUUUGCAACGGUUGCUAGAUUAGAUUCUAUUCGUACGCUUCUCACAUUUGCUUGUCACAAGAAUUUCAACCUCUAUCAAAUGGAUGUUAAAAGUGCAUUUUUAAAUGAUUUUAUUCAAGAAGAGGUCUUCUUAGAGUAACUCCCCAUUUUUAAAUAUCACUAUUGAAUGUGUAUUGAGCACCAAAGAUAACCCAGGCUCAGUUUUUACCAACUUCCAACACCACAAGUUGACAACAAUGACCUACGACAAUAACCAAGCUUCCACUUCCAGUUGCCGAUGAGAUAUUUCACUUUGGAGACCACAAAGGUGCUAGAAAUCUCAUAUAAUAUCACCAAUAAGGUAGGAAUCACAACGAGGUAGAAAGAGUAGAAGGAAGAACACAUAGAGACCGAUCUAAAAAUGAGAGGUAGUAAGGACGUCUCUCACUUAGAGAGAAAGAGACCAAUAUAUCUUGUAACCAUUGGCCCAAGUAACGUAAGUAUAGGUAGGUUAACCAAUGGGUCAAAUUAGAGGCCCAAGAGAUAGUUAAACGGCCCACAAGUCUUUUUCUCAAUUAAUGGCCAUCCAAGGAAGUGAAUUGGGCUAUGAGCAAUACUAAAGUAUUUAGGUUACUUCAAGUGGCCAAAUUAACCUUUAGGUCGUAUUGUCUUGAAUGUAGUGUUAGAUUUCCAUUCAGUCAUUAGGCUAAGCCGACUGAAAAAAAAAACCAAGUAACAUCAUAGCCCGGUGGAUUUAUUAGGUAUCAAAAAACCAACAAAUCUCCACCUUGAAGCCUAAUAAAUCUGCAAGCAAUCAAAACACACAGUUGGCAUUUGCAUAAUCAAGGUAGCUAAUAAAAUUGGAUCACAGAUCUCACCUCGUGUUGCCAACCUGAAACACAUACCAUACCUGCUCAUGUACGCACCAGGGUUAAGGUCCAAAGAAACACCCAAGUAGGAACAAGUAUUCAUAAUAAACAAAUAAUCAUGCGAUGAAGAUAUUAUAUAGGAUAAUACACAGAUCAUUUCAAAAUUGCAUUCACACAAAAUCACAAAUUAACACCAAGUUAAUUAACACAUGGUGAAACACAUAUGCAACAAAUGUAUAAAUGACCCCACGAAAGAUCUCACCACACUUAUUUUAUCUCAUUCCUUGUUGCUCACACCUUGAGAACACAUAUCUAUUCUCAUCGUCCACCAUGCUCACUAGACUGAUCACUCAACUCAUGUCUAACUAGUAGGUCAUAAUAGAUCCUAAGUCCAUCUCCACAUCACUUCUCCCAAUCUACGUGGAUAAUGGGUCUCCACCUAACAGAAGUGAUAGAAGCGUCUCUCUCACACUCCACCUAAUCAAUGUCUCUUUAUAGAUAAAGGAUCCUAAACAUUUAAUCACAUCUCCACUCGUGAUCCAAAUGUCAUAAUCCACAUCCCCGGUACAAACCACAAUGUACCCCUCUACAUCUAUACUUCACCUUACCAAAAGGCACACAACACACUGCUAAUGUAUCCUAACCUACUAUAUAUUCAAACAAUUACACCAAGUAAUCAUAUUGUCCCAAAUUCAUGCAAAUGCACAUAUCAAAUACAUUAAAAUGUAGCAGAUAAUCAUGCAACAAAUUUAGACAAUCACACACAUGCAGAAAGGAUCACACACAGAUGCAUAUGCAGUAACUAGGUUUACACUCAAUAAACCUCGCUAGGGUCAUAACUCGACCCCUCAACCACAUUCAUCUUACCUCUCACAUCACCUUUCUACUUAUCUUUCUUUUUGGGACAGUCCCUAAUAAAGUGCCUAAACUCACCACAACUGUAGCACCUUCUACCACUAGACUUGUCUCGUCUCUUGCCCUUCUUCUUACUAUCCUCAUCACUCGAAUUACUACUCGAAUCACUACUAUUUUUGAGUUUUACCCAAAUUCAUUUGCUUUAACUUCACCCUACUCCUCAUCAUAUGUAACUCACCACUCCUCUUAUCCUCUUUUUUAGCCUUAAUCUCCAUCUCUUUACUCCUAAGAGAAUCUAUGACAAUUUCAGGUGUCAACGUAUCGCUACCAUAUUUAAUGGCAUUUUUAACUUUCUUAUAAGAAUCAGGAAUAGCAUUGAGCAAGAUUAUAGCCUUAUAAAUUUCGGACACAGCCUCAUUACAAUUAAAGAUAUCUUGCACUAACUUGUUAAACACGUCUAAAUUGUCCUCAAGAUUCUUUGAAGGAUUUAUUUUAAAACUAAAAAAGCGUUCAACCAGAUAGAGUUUGUUCAGUGUAGAUUUAAGUAAAUACAGGUCUUCCAAUAUUUUUUCAAAGUUCUUUGAUGGUUUUCAGUUUAUUCGCCUUUCUGAAAACGACGUUAGACAAGUGUAAAAUGAUUGAGGUAUAAGUAAGCUCAUCGACUUCUUCUUUUUGUUCUUUUGAAAAAUUAGUUGAAAAUUUGCCUUAAAUGGCUUUUGAAACUUUUUGUUGGACCAAAAUACCCUUCAUUUUUUGUUGCCAGAUAGAAAAAUCACAUUUAUCGUUAAAAAUGCCCAAAUCAAAGUUGUGAGUUAUCAUUUUCAAACAACAACCAAAUAAUGCACAAAACACAAUCAAACCAGACAAAGUAGUCCUAGGGUCACAGAUAGUACACAUCGUUCUAUAUUCCCAGGAUUUCGCAAGACUCUCGAUCUUAGACUAAGGGAAUGUUUGAACGGGUAAGAUCGUGGUAAUUCUAACGAAAUUAAUAAGCAGCGAAAGUAACAAUGCAACAAAAAAUACAUCUAACAAAUUACCAGUUAGCAAUUAUAUCACUGAGAACUAAGUACUGAUAACCAAAAGACAUAUACUCAAUUAAUCAAUUAGGAGCAAGUAACCAUAAUUUCUAGUACAAGCAAUUGUUGACAAGCAAUGUUUGCCAAGCAAUGACAACCCCCAAUCCUAAUGAUUACUGCACAUGAUAAUUUGCUAGUACGAUAAUGUAAAGGUCUAAGCUAAUUUACCAGAGUGGACCUAUCUGAAUCCAUAAUGUGGAGAUAUGCAAUUUUGUCGCUUUACGGCCACCACUAUUUGCCCUAAAGACUAAGCAAAUAUGCUAAUUCCAAUAAGCCACAAAUGUAGAUUGAAGGUCAGGGGCAAAAUUGUCCAACUUUUCUUGCGCAACCUGAAACACUAAACCAAACGCAUCAAAACGUUCAGGAGAAUAAAAUAAAUGAAAUGGCAGAAAAAUUCACGUUGCAGGACCGCCUACAACUAUGCACUACCACCACCAUUGAGGAUGCUUCGACCUACUAGUCGUGGGUCUAGGCUCCGUUCGUCCAACGGAGGUCCGAUUUGGGAGUAAUUGAAGAUUUCAGAUCAGAUCAUAUUGAAGGAAAAUCGAUUUCUUCCAAUUUUGAUCUGAUUUUCGCAAGGUAAUGGUAACCCAAGGUCUGAUACCAGAUGUUGUAUGUGUAUGGAGCACCAAAGAUAACCCAAGCUUAGUUUUUAUCAACUUCCAACACCACAAGCCGGUAACAACGACCCAAGACAAUAACCAAGCCUCCACUUCCGGUUGCCAAUGAGAUAUUUCACUUAGGAGACCACAAAGGUGCUAGAAAUCUCAUAUAAUAUCACCACUAAGGUAGGAAUCACAAAGAGGCAGAAAGAGUAGAACGAAGAAGACGUAGAAACAGGCCAAAAAAUGAAAGGCAGUGAGGACGUCUCUUCCUUAGAGAGAAAAAGACCAAUAUAUCGUACGACGGAAUUUCGUGUAUUAAAAUACAGAAAUCGUUAAAAAUUGUAUUUUGAUAAAUACAAGUGAUGUUGACCUUCUCGUAAUUGUAAAAUUGCAAAAUCCUCUGAUUAAUGAUCUGAAUAUUUGAAGACGAGGGGUCAUGUGACUUGAAUCCUGAUCUUCAAUAAUUUGUUGAAAAUUUGAUUUGUCGAUAUUUGACUUGUUUGGAACUUGAAUCUUGAGGCUUGGACUUGGACUUGAAUUUCAUUUAAUUUGAAGAACACUUUGAUCUUCUUGGAUUUAGCGUGAACCCGUUUGAUUCGAAGAAGAUUUUAAUCUUCUUAAGGUUCAUCGAGUUAAGGUUUGACAGAAUUUCUUCCCUUCUUUCAGCCUUGAGAUUUCAUCAGCACUUCGUGGCGUUCUCUGCUUUCUUUUCUUGCUUGCUUUCUGUGUGUCUAUCUUAUGGACCAUUGGUCCUAUUUAUAGGCGAGAAUUCGCACUAAAUUUGGUAAUUACUCAAUUACAUCUAAUUAAAAAAGAUAAUUGAGUAAUUAUGAUUUUAUUUAUUUGUUUGUUUAUUUAUUUGUUUGAUUAUUUAUUUAAAAUGUGAUAUGGGCCUUUGGAUUUAUGGACCUUAGUAGAUUUUAAUUUAAUUGGGCUAAUCAUUUAAAUCGAUCCGAUCCAAUUUAUUUUAUUUUAUUUUUAUGUUUACAUAUGCCCCCUCAAGAUUAAUUAAUUUAUUAUGAAAUAAAUAAAUUAAUAAAUCUUGAUUUCUUUUGAAUUGUUUGAUUUUGAUUUUUUUUUAUUUGAUUUGAUCUCAAACGUUUCAUUAGUAAAUUAAACAGAUGAAAUAUUUGAGAAUAAAAUGUGAAUUUGAUAAAAUUCUUAUCCUUCAAAUUCGAGAAUAAGAUUUUUUUUUAUUUUUUAUUUGUUGAAUUUUGAUUAUUUAUUUAUUUUAUACGACCCAUAACAAAUUUGAUUUGAAUAGGCUUUUUAUGUUUCAUGAUGAAUUAGGUUUAAAUGAAGCCCGUUACCCGCCUAUUUAUACGAAGGAAUUAUGAGACUUGAAAACAAAUCUGUUAAAUCUUGCAAACAGAGAUAAAGUAUGUAUUUAUUAUUAUUUUUUUCUUUCUCACGCUUUUUUUCUCUCUCUCUUUUUUUAUUAUUAUUUUAAUUUUUCUUGGUUUCGGCUGUGCAGAAACCAAAAAAGUGCAGAAACUGUGUUGGAACUUCUUUUCUUUCCUUUUCUUCUUCUUUUUUUAAUAUUUAUUAUAUUUUUUUCUUGGGUUCCGUCGCGAAAAACUGCAGAAACCAAUUUUGUUGUUGAUGGUUUCUGCAACGAUUUGCAGAUUAUUGGUUUCUAAAAAUCAUGGCAGAAACUACUGUGGCGGAAACCAAUUUUGCUGUUGAUGGUUUCUACAACGAUUUGCAGAUUACUGGUUUCUGCAAAUCAUGGCAAAAACCAUUUAAUUUCCAAUUGAAAUUAAUUGGUUUCUACAAGUUUAUGUAAUGAUUUGCAGAAACAAAUUCCUUUAAAUUUUUAUUUUUUUAUUCUUGUUUGACGUGAAACCCUUUUUUGUCUUCUAUUUUUAGUUUCUUUCUCCUUUUCUUUCUUUUCUUUUUUUUUCUUUAUGUAUUUUAUUUAUUUAUUAAUUACCCCUUUAUUUUGAUCCCUUUCUUCUUCUUCUUCUUCUUCUUCUUCUUCUUCUUCUUCUUCUCUCUCUCUCUCUCCCUUUUUUUUUAAAGAAAAUUGAAACUAACAAUCUUCAUUUUUUUUCAGGGAUUCAACUUUUUGGAGCGAACCAAGAAUUUUGAGGUUCCAAAUUUUCUUCUAGUAAAGGUUUAUUAUUAUUAUUAUUAUUAUUAUUUCAAUUAUUUUAUGAGUUCAGAAAAUAUAUGAUUAUGAACCAACUUAAAAUUGCAAACCUUCAUACACAUUGAAGACCAAGGACUGCCACUUUUCACCAGUUAAUGCACUUUUUGUUGAGGACCAAGGACCUGCUCCUUCCAUCGUCCAAGACACUUUGUGUUAAGGACCAAGGACUGACUCCUUCAACUGUCCAAGACACUUUGUGUUAAGGACCAAGGACCUGUUCCUUCCACCGUUCAAGGCACUUUGUGUUAAGGACCAAGGACUGGCUCCUUUAACUGUCCAAGACACUUUGUGUUGAGGACCUGUUCCUUCCAUCGUCCAAGACACUUCGUGUUGAAGACCAAGGACCUGACUCCAUCAACUGUUCAAGAUACAUUGUGUUGAGGACUAAGGACCUCUUCCUUCCAUCGUCCAAGGCACUUUGUGUUAAGGACCAAGGACUGGCUCCUUCCAUCGUUAAAGACACUUUUUAUAGAGGCUGCUUACAUAUUUGGGAGACUUCGGAUUUUAAACAAUAAACCAAUUUGAGAGGUUUACUGCCCUCCUUUUUAUUUAGCUGACUUUUUUUUCUUUUUUUUUCUUUUUUUUUUUUGCACAUGGUUGGAACAAGUUCUGAUGAUAAAGUGUGUUCUGACAUGCACGAAAUUGUUGAGUUUAAAAAUCAAGGCAAAAUUUAUCUACGUUUCAAAGAUACUGAUGUAAAGUACCAUGCCCAGACCGGUGUACGAGGUGAACUUAAAGUUAGUGUCCAUAAGCCAACGACAGAUCCUUCCCCCGACCUUCUGGAGCCAUUGUCGGAGUUGCAUAGGUCCACCAUUAGUGAUUGUCACGAGAGUUUGGAUACUGGCAAGUCCAAACGUUCUAGCAGUUAUCUUCUCUUUUUGUGUCUUCCGCCUCAUCAUUCCCAGAGCAUGGAGUACAUCCCAAGGGCUAUGAUUUGUGAGAGAAUUGAUAAUAGAGAAAUACGAUAGUGAAGCGCACUGGUCAGUCGAGGAGAAAUUUCUUUUCUUCCAAAAUUUUGGGAGUGGUCUUUGUGGGUCCAGAAACUUCUGCUCAAGAGGAAUCUUUGAGAGUUAGCUUUUGUAGUCGGUUCUGCUGCAAAAGAUUACCAUCGCCUAAAUUCCAUUUACAGAGCUCUUUGUGAGGUUUGGUGACCAGAAACCAACACCUUUGUGACUGCCAAUGGUGAAAUUGGCAUUUCUCUUUGAGACAUCCGCGAGAUAAGUGGACUUUCGAUCAUGGGUCAUUAUUAUGAGGAAUUAGUUCCAAUCCUUUCAGAGUUGACAGAUCAUCUUGCCAAGUCUUGUUUGUAUCUCUUUAAUGUUUUCACAUUGAUUGCCCACGCGAAUAAAUCUGACAGAGUUACUCAUGAACAGUGGAUUAAUUUUUGGUUUCAUGAGAAUGGUUGUGUCCCAAACCCUCGACAACACAAAAAUUAUAAGAAUGCUAUGAAUUUAAAUCCAUUCAAAAGGCUCCAUCAAAGAACAUCGAAGGAAAUACGAAGGCCCGUGUUGGCAGCCAAGUCGAUAGACAUUACUCGUAGGGAUCGACGGCAUUGGGGCAAUUUUCCAGUAUCUCUGUCUAUGGAAGAAGAAGAGGAAUUAGUGAUAGCAGCCUAUCUCUCCCUAUGGCUUUGUCGCUUCGUUCUGCCAUCUGGGGACGAAAGUAUAAGAGUCAAGACUUUUAAAGCAUCUUCUAGGAUGGCAGACGGAUACACUUAUAGUCUUGUUCCACCCAUAUUAGCGAGCAUUUAUAGUGGACUUACACAAACAUUUAACUAUCAGGCAAAUCCAGACCUUGGCUCAAUUUCACAUUCAUUUCCUGGACAUUUUCUUUAUGCUUGGGCAGCAACUUAUUUUGUCCAAGGUGUUUAUGCUCAUGUAGACAAGAGUUAUUCUCGCCCUAUAAUUCGAAGAUAUGCCGGAACUCUAAAUGCUUUUCAAUCUUGGGAGAAAAAUGUUGUUGAUUAUCGGGAAUUUAUUCUUGGAGCGAUGAACACCGAUAACUUUUGCUGGAAUCCAUUACUCUCAUCCUGAUGUACGUGAGGAUGACCAACCGAGGUCUGCAGAUACUUCAGAAUUCAUGAUGAGUAUUCGAUCUGGAUUUCUCUCUUAUCGUCGAGGAAAUUCACCUUUCAUUCUUGAGGCGUAUAAUCCUCACAGGUUUGCGAGACAGUUUGGCUUUAGACAGAAACUUCCCGGUUCACCAAGAAAGUUGAAUAUUGCCCCCAGUGUAGGCGACUUGUAUCGGGUUUGGUUGUCCCUAACUUGGAUAAAAAGUGGGUCUGUAUUUCAUAUUCCAGAGUAUGUGAGGGAUAUACAUCAAAACAUUGAUGUUGAAUGCCAAGCUUGGUGGAAUAGCAAAGUGUUACCACUCUUGACCAAGGUCCAGGUGCAAAUCUUAUUUUUAAGUGAGCCGUGACUUUGUUCUUGGCUCCACUCCGAACAGGGUUUUAGCGAGAGGGUUAAACCCUCCAAAUGCUGCUCCUGAAGAGGCUUCUCGAAAGAGAGAUCUAAACCAUCAAAAUGAAAGAGGUAUUAGGAGAAUCAAAAUUAUAGUUCCCUCGACAAAGGUUGCUACCAUCUUUGAGCCUGCUGAUCAGGUGCCAGAAGCAAUUUUGAUUCCAGAUCACAAUAGUCCUGGAGAUCGAGCAUCACAAGCACCAGGAAAGACUUUGACUCCAGAAGAUGAAAGUUCUGGAGAUCAGGUAUAGUGCUCCCUUUUUUUUAUUGUACUGUUUGUAUCUGAUUUUCUACCACAAUCUUCAAUUUCAAGCUUCUCUUUGUCGAAUAUACAAAAUCAAAUGACCAAUAGAACCGAGGUCGCUUCAAGCUAUUCCGAGUCUUUGAAAAGGUAAAGUUGGAGCUUCUCACGUUAACCUCAGCCUCCUGAACACAUCAUCAGCCGGUGGAUUUUUAGACAUGUCGUCCAGGACACGAAAUGUAGGUAUGUGCCCUGUUGUUGUUUGCUGCACUUUUUCCCUUUUUGUUUUUGAAACCAUGCUUCAUUUCUUGUAGGUUUUCUGAGCAUCCUUGAAGAACUAAAUUUCUCCAUGAAUCCAAACUUUUUGCAAGAUCAGACUGGCGAGAAUGACGGGCGAAUCGAUGCACUUCAAGGAAUAGAUGGUAUUCAUGAUUCUCAUGACCUUUUUUGCAAAUAUCCAGGCAUCAUCAAUGGAGGUACUUUGGUGCAUAUCAUGAACAAUUUUAAUGCUGAAGAUGAAGUAAAUUCAGGGACUGUGAGAGCUAACAUUUCAGAGAUCAAUCAAGGAGUUCCUGUCGGUCCAUCUACGUUGGCUUUAGUCAGUAUUCCGCCUUCACAAACAAAUAAUCAUCAGGCUGCACCAAUCUGUUCUUUUAUGUCUGGUCCUCCACCUGGAUUACCCAAGAGUCUCCUUAUCUGAAGCCUGCUUUGCAAAAAGCUAUGAAUAAUUACCUCCAGAAAUGUUUUAAGGAUGUCUUAAAGUAUGGAUUCUCCAAUAUUCGAUCUUGGUGUGAUGAGAAUAAUUUCAUUCUUCAGAAUGUGAUUGCCAACUCAUUCCACGCAGACCCAGCACCUUUAAUGAAACACAUGGAUGUGUUUCUGAAAAAAAUUGACUCCUACUUGUCUGAAAGAAAGCAGCACUUGGAUUGUCCAACUGUUGAAGAAAAGGUGGAGGAGUUGAAACUUUUGAACAUUCAACUGGAAGUAAAGGAUUCCACGUGUUCUUCGUUGAGAGGCAAAAUUAGUGAGCUAACAUUUGAGCUAGAUAGACUUCGUGAUGAACUUCAAGCCCAAGAGGAAGACAAAAGUAUGAUUGGAACCAAGAAGGCAGCAUUGGAAGAAGCACAGACAAGAGAUGUCACUAGCAUAGCAUCCAUUAACCAGAAAAGGAAGACCCUUGAAGAUAGUUUUCUGCGAGUGAUCAAUGGCGAGUGAUCUUGAUGAAAUCAUGAAUUUCUGAUCUCUCUUUUUUUAUGACCAUAUUGUUUGAAUUUUGACUUACUAUUUUUAUUUGGAUGAACUUUUCUUUUUCAUGUUUCUUGUGUUUUUUUUACAGCAAUUGAUAAACAAAUUGAAUGAAUUUAUUAGUUGUGACUAAACUUGAAUUUAUAAUUUAUUCAAGCUGCCUACGUAUCCAAACGGGAUCAAGUUGAACGUAGUUCAUUACAAGAACACAAUUUAUUAUUUUUUUUUUUUGUACAAUGAAAAAUUUAAAAAUAAAGAACUUCAAGCAUAAAAACGUUUUAAAAAUUUUCCAUUGAUAGGUCCGAUUUGCAAUCUAUCUUUGUUGACGAUCUUGUACGCUCUAUUAGUGAAUGCAUUAGUAACAAGAAAUGGACCAUCCCAUUUAGGUUGGAACUUGCCCCCUAUUUUUCUUGUGAUUAUGAUUGGCCUGCGCACGGAAAGUACCAGAUCUCCAAUUGGAAAUGAUCUUGGUCGCACCUUUUUGUUGAAAGACUUGCCCAUUCGAGCUUGAUAGCACUCUAGAUGCAUUUGUGCUUCUAACCUCUUCUCAUCCAAAGUUUCUAGCUCUUCCAAUCGAAGGCGGGCAUUUUCUUCAGUUGUCAAACCUUCCUGAAUCACAUUUUGAAGUGACGAAAUUUGACACUCCAGGGGAAGGACAGCUUCUACCCCAUGUACUAAGGCAUAAAGAGUGGCUUGUGUUGGAAUCCGAUAAGUAGUUCGAUAAGCCCAUAAGACUUCACCGAUCUUCUCAUGCCAAUCUCUUUUUAAUUUGGAGACAACCUUUUUCAGCAAACUACAUAGUGUUUUGUUGAAUGCCUCUGCCAAUCUGUUAGCUACCGCAUUGUACAUGGACGAGUUGUACUGUUUGAAUCCAAACUUUGCACAUAAAUUGUUUAUGUGGCUAUUGCAAAAUGGCUUGCUAUUAUCAGUUAUGAUAUAUCGCGGGACACCAUAUCGAUAAAUGAUUUGGAUACGAAUGAAAUCUACGACAUUGUCUUUCUUUACUUCCUUCAAUGGUAUGGCUUCGGCCCACUUAGAGAAGUAGUCUGUCCCGACGAGGAUGUAUGCAUGCCCUGCUUAAGACUUUGGAGUUAUAGGUCCAAUUACAUCAAGACCCCAUGCAUCAAACGGCCAUGAAGCUAUUGUUGGAUGUAAUGGUUCCGGAGGUUGAUGGAUGAAAUUCGCAUGGAUUUGGCAAGCUUCACAUUUUCUUGCAUAAUCCAUGGAGUCUUGUACCAUAGUUGGCCAGCAAUAUCCCAUCCUCUUUAUUCGAAAAUGGAGUUUAGGUCCAGACUAGUGGGCACCACAAAUUCCAGAGUGGGCUUCUUCCACGACCUGCGUUGCUUCAUCAUUACUCAGGUAUCGAAGGAAAACUCCAUCAAAUGAUCGUUGAUAAAGUGUUCCCUUAUAAAAGAUAAAGCGAGAGACAUGCUCUUGAUUUCUGUUUUUCGCCUUGGAUUAUCUGGUAGCUUUUGAUGUUGAAGGAAAUAGAUUAUUGGCUGUCUCCAAUCUUCUCUUUCCUCAUCUUCGACUACUUCGACACUAUUGUUUUCUUCCAAAUUAUUGGGUAGCAAUGACAGAAGUACCCAUCUUUGAGCAAUUGAUAUGGAGUGGGAAAAUUUUUCAUCUGAUCUAGCUAAAACAGUAGCUAAAUUAGCUAAGGCAUCAGCUUCCUUAUUUUCACUUCUCGGGACGAAUUUGAAUUUUAACGAAUCAAAUCGUCUCAUAAGCAUUGCUGCAUGUUCAUGAUAUGGCUUCAAGUCUGAAUUACGGACUUCAUAUUUAGCUAAAAGUUGGUUGAUUAUCAAUUUAGAGUCUCCAAAGACUUCCAGCUGGUGAAUAUCCAUAUCUAAAGCUAUCUCUAAGCCGAUGAUAAGAGCUUGAUAUUCUGCCACAUUAUUCGAACAUUUCUCUGUUAAGGCAUAUGAGUAGGGCAUGAUGAGAUCAUGAGGAGUGAUGAAGACCACUCCUACUCCAGCACCAUAACUUCGGGCUACCCCGUCAAAGUAUAGCCUCCAUGAUGAUAUGAUUUCGACGAAUAGAACUUCUUCAUUGGGAAGGUCUUCCUGAAGUUUCCAUUCUGCUGGAAUUGGGUGGUCAGCAAGGAAAUCAGCUAAAGAUUGUCCUUUAACGGCCUUUUGUGGAAUGAAUUCGAUGUCGAACUCAAACAACAGUAAUGACCAUUUUCCAAUCCUUCCAGAAAGAAUUGGCCUGGACAUUAUGUACUUCAAUGGAUCAAUCUUCGAAACAAGAUUGAUUGUGUGUGAUAGCAUAUAAUGCCUCAGCUUUUUAGCCGCGAAGAUUAAAGUGGGGCAUAUUUUUUCAAUAAGCGAAUACUUCAUUUUAGUGCCUACCAGUGUCCAGCUCAAGUAAUAGAGUGCAUUCUCUUUUCCUUCUUCGUUAACUUGGGCAAGAAUUGCCCCUAGAGAACAUUCUUAUGUUGCAAUAUAAAGAGUCAGCGACUUCCUUGGAACUGGAGCUGUGAGUACUAGUGGACGAGACAAAUAUUAUUUAAUGCUUUGGAAAGCAUUUUGACAAGCGUCAUCCCAUUCAAAUGGUACAUCUUUCUUCACCAAUUUGUUGAAUGGAUGACAACGUCCGGCUAGAUUAGAGAUAAAUCUUCGAAUGUAUGCAAGUUUUCCUUGAAAACUUUUCAACUCACGUACUUUUCUUGGCUCUGGCAUGUUUAUUAUAACUUCAAUUUUUGAUUGAUCUACAUCAAUACCCCGGUGUCAAACAAUGAAGCCGAGAAAUUUUCCAGAUGUGAUGCAAAAUGCACAUUUCAACGGAUUCAUCUUUAAUUGAUGUCUUCGAAGUUUUUUGAAAACAUCUCGUAAAUCUUGUAAAUGACCAUCGUGUCUUUUUGUUUUAACAACAAGGUCAUCCACAUAACAUUCAACGUUCUUAUGUAGAAAAUCAUCGAAAAGCUUUUGCAUUGCCCGCUGGUAGGUUGCCCCCGCAUUUUUUAAUCCAAAAGGCAUAACUUUGUAACAAUAUAUACUUUUAAGGGUACGUAAUGAUGUGAGUUCCUCGUCUUUUGGGUUCAUCCAUAUCUGAUUGUAUCCAGAAAGCCCAUCCAUGAAAGAUAAGACUUCAUAUCCAGUAGCUACAUCCACCAUCAACUCUGUUAUUGGAAGUGGAAAAUCAUCUUUCGGACAUGCUAGAUUCAGAUCCCGAAAGUCGAUGCAAAUUCGUAAUUGCUCGUUCUUCUUUUUGACAGGAACAAUGUUUGCAAUCCAUGUUGGAUAUUUCACUUCGCGUAUAAAUUCAACUUCAAUAAGUUUGUUGACUUCCAUUUUAAUUUGAGGAAUCAGUUCUGGUCGAAAUCUUCUUUGAGGUUGUUUGAUUGGUCGAACUCCAUGUCUUACUGCAAGAUGAUGCACUGCAACCUCAGGAUUUAACCCCGACAUUUCUUUGUAAGACCAUGCAAACACGUCUUUGUAUUCAUGAAACAAAUUAAUGUACUCAGAUUCUUCCUUUUGACUGAGAAGGGCACUUACAAAUACUGGUGUUGGGUCUUCUUCGGUCCCCAGGUUCAAUUGUUUCAAGUCAUCCACAGUAGCUUGUCCCCCUUCUUCAAAAGUAGGUGGGGCUGGUUCAGGUUCAUCAGUUGUGACAGAACUUUUGGACUCGGAGUCUGAAUCGGGAGCUUCUUCAAAGGCUAUGUGAUUGACAGAGACUUCUUCCUUUUCUUCACUCUUCUUUAGGGAUGGACGAACUUUUUGCUGUCUUCGUCUUCUUCUUGAUCGUUGUGGCUUUAGGCUUGGAUUAGAAGUUUUAAUCCCAAGUCGCGAAAAUGCAGAUUGUCUUUAGGAUGACAUUUGGGGAGCUUGUGCAUUCCUAUCAAUUUGGGUAGAAGAAUAAUCUUCACUUAAUCUUUGGAAGAUAGAAACUUUACCUUUUACAUCGACCAUUGGGGCGGGUUCUCCUUUUAACCUUUUAAACACCGAAACUCUGGCAUUCUCAUUUUCAAUUCGAUCGAACAAUGAAGGUUUCGGCUAUUCAGAUUUCUCUUCUGGAACUUCAUAAAUUUGAAUCAUGAUGGGGUUUGAGGAAACCUUCUUGACCUUAAUCUUUCUCGGUGGAUUGGGAUCAUAUUCCAAACCAUACCUGGGUCGGGACAUCAAGGCUCCAUCAGAAUUAGAAGGGGGCGCCCUCCUGAAAGGAUAGCAUCAAGAUCACCUAAUUUACGAGGCUCUCCUUUUCCAAACCCAGCAUUUUCGAACAACUUCUUAACUUGAGAAUUGUAACAUCCUUUGAAAGUUUGUUUUGAUUCAACAACUCCUUCUUGUUUGGACAAGCUAGAAAUAUAAAGUUUUAAUAUGUCGGGAAGAGAUGUUGAAGCCGUUGAAGCCUCUGAUGUAGAUUUAUAUUCUUUGGGGCCCGCCAUAAGUUGGUGGGGGCAGAAGCAAUUUUGGGAUAUUAGGUAUUAGAAGAGUUAACUCUUUUCUCAAUACCUCAAUAUCGGUUGAUUCUACUUGAGGUUUUUUUGCCUUUAGUAAAUCUUGACUUAUUUUUGAUAAGUUGAUGAUUGAGCAACACUAGACGUAUCAUGAUCAUUUGUAUCUUCUUUGAUUUUGAAUCCAGAUAUGGUCAACCCUGAAAAUUUACAUUCUUCACCUUCCAUGUAAAACUUGGCAUCGGUAAAAUGAGAUUCUUCUUCGAGAAAAGGUUUCGACUCAGCUACCACACAUUUGACUUCUCCAUCUCGGCAAUAUUUGAAGCAUUGGUGCCAAGUCGAAGGUACCACUCCAGUUUCAUGUAGCCAAACACGUCCAAGGAGUAACUCGUAUGAUGUUUUAGCAUCAAUGACAUGGAAAGGAGCCGAGGAGAUUAACUCUCCUAUUUGCAGCUUUAGGCAAAUCAUGCCAAUGGCUCGCGGACCUUUUUGAUUGAAUCCUUGAAUCAUGAUUUUGCUUCUGGAUAUAUUACCAACAUUGAUUUCAAUUUUCUUCAUUAUUUUAACCGAUAUAAUAUUUACAGCAGAUCCAGAAUCGAUCAUUAUACGAUUUAUCUUGCACUCUCGAAUAUAACCGCUGAUAUACAGUGGUCUAUUAUGUGGACGUGAAGCCAGUUGUAAAUCUCCAUCGUCAAAUGUUAUGGCGGCCAUAUGGUCUUGAGGAGUUGUGGCUCCAAUAUGUUUCUAAAGCUUUGCCUUCGUAUUCUUUCGGAUCGAUUAAUGCUGCGACCAAGGCCAUCCGAUCAUCGAAGGAAAGGGCAAGAGACUCUGCUAGACUUGUAUUGGCAGGAAUAUUAUUGAAUCGUGAAAUAGUUUUCUUCUGUUCUGAAGUCUGCCUUGAUACGUUCUUCAUUUCAUCUUUCUCCUCCACAUUGAUUACGUUGAAGGUUAGACAUUCUUUAUCAAAGAAACCCUUAGGAAAGUAAUCACCCAAGGUCGGUAGUCUAGGAAGAACGCAUGGAACCGCUCCUUCUUCGGUUGAUUUAGUAGAUACUCUUGGCUUGGCUUCAGGCUUCCUUCUUUGAUUGUUCCUUGGUCUUGAUUUCUUGUCAUAAAAGUUAAAAACUGGAAGUCGUGGGGCCUUCCGACGACGUUUUUUCACUAAGGUCCAUGCCCCCUGAUCUUCUUCUAGUGUUUCUUCUUUAUUGGGUUGAGUUUUCGUAUCCAAUUCCUCCGGCUUUGUUCCUGCAAGAGGCAUAGAAGGUAAUAUUUUACCUAUUUUGUUUGACAUUCUGUAUUUCUCUUUCUUCUUUAUGAAGGUAGACCAGCCGUCGCCGAUCUCGUCUUCUAAUUCUGAGUCGAAAUCCCAAACAUCCAAGUCUCAUGUCAUAAUUUCAUAAAAGGUUGGAUGAUUGGGUGCGCUUGGUCCAUUCAUCCCUGAAUAGAUAUAACUGAUGGUGAUUUCUCCGUCUACCUCAAAUUUCACUGGGAUGGCUCCUUCCGGGAGUUGAGGUCCAAAUUCCUCAACGGAGGAUUUACAAGCAUCGUGUACAUCAGAGAAUGUUUGUUUCUUUCCUGGAAUGGGAAUUGGAUCAAAUAAUCCAAAUGAAACCAUCGAGCAUGUGGCUGUUGGAUUCUCUCCGGUCUCAAGUUUGAUCUUAUUUUCUUUGUCUAAGCAAACAAUAAGAUCUUUCAAAACAAAGCAUUUUUCCACUGGAUAACUAAUGAUCCUGUGAAAUUUACAAUAUUUAGGAUGAUCGAUCUUACCAACCUCCUCAGGUCUUUUUGGUACUGAAAGUUCGAUUAUUUUCUGUUCAAGGAGCUAAUCCAGAAUUCCAGAAACUUCUGAAUCUGAGAAUAGGUACUCCCUUCCUUCAAGUUCCUUUAGAGUCACAUGACUUUUGCUUUGGACUUGUCCUUUGUUAGGUCUGAACUCUAGCUUUGGUUUUGAGUUUGAGCUUGACCCUUGGAAGGCUAUCUUUGCAGAAACAGUAGAAAUCGCCAUAGCCUCUUUGGAUUUACUUGUCUUGACGUCCUUCUUUAUAUCCUUCUUAGGAUCUUUCUUGUCACUUGGUAAAUAACUCCCAUGCCUUGCAAUUUGGAGCUCCAGGUCAUGAGCACGUGUUGCCAAUUCUUCGAGUGAGUGAGGCAUGUUUGCUUGGAGAUUAUAGAGUAAUCCCCAAUGCAUGCCUUGUACACACAUGUCGAUGGAAGAUGCUUCACUUAUUCGUUCUUUACAAUUAAGCACAAGGUUUCUCCAACGUUCAAUGUACUCUACUACAGGCUCUUCCUUGCUCUACUUUGUUCGAGCAAGUUCUGGAAGGCUGACAGUUCGUCGGGUGCUGUAGAAGUAUGUUAAGAACUCUCGCUCGAGUUGAUCCCAACUAUCAAUUGACCCUGCUGGUAAGUCUGUGUACCAUUCAAAUGCAGAACCUUUGAGGAAGCUGUACCAUUCAAAUGCAGAACCUUUGAGGAAGCAUACGAACUGCUUCACCAUCGUGUCAUUGUAAGUACCUACGUUGUUACAUAUCUCAAUAAAAUGAGAAACAUGUUGCUUUGGGUUACCCUUUCCAUCAAAACAUUGAAACUUCGAAGGUUGGUAACCAAGUGGCAUCUUUAUUUCGUUGAUUCGACGACUAUAGGGUUUGUCAUACACCAAUGAAGAUUGCAACGAACCACCAUAUUGGGCACGAAUGGUGUUCGUAAUCAUAUGUUGAAGUUGUUUGACGGAUAGAGAGCCAAUGGAGAGUUGAGUGGCGUCAACACAUUUUGAACAAUUGUUCGAUCAUGUAUAUCAUGCUUCUGUUGAUGCUCUUGGACUUCUAACUCUUUGGCCAUGGAAAAUUCUAAAUUUUCCCAAUCUUCUUUAACCGGUGGAUUUUGUGACUCUAGUUUAUGCAUGAGUACGGUAAUUUAGGCAUCUUUUUCUUCUAACGAAUUCGUUAAUUUUUCAAUAGCUAAAGCCAUUUGUUAGAUUCGAUCAUCUGAGCCCGAUGGCACUUUGUGACCAUCACUGGCUCAAGUGAUUCUUCAGAUGAAGUAUCAUCUUCCCACUUUUGCUGAGAAGUAGUAUGAGGGUAUCCAGAUAAGGAUCUACCACUGGAGAUGGAUCCUGAACGAGAGUUUUUUGUCAAACUCAUGAUUUUUUGUGUCGAAUGAGAGUUUGACUUUUUGAAGGAAAUUUUCAUUCUUUUUUGUUUGGAGAAUUUCUUUAGUGGUGUGACCAGUUGAGUUUUCCAAGUUUUUGUUUGGGCCCUAGUCGCGUGGAAGAGUUCAGCAAGUGUCUCUUCGAGAUGAGUCAUAGUUUGUUUCACCUUUUCGCCUGCCAUUGCUGAUGUAGUAUUUGAAACUUGAAGAUUUUGAGAUCAAAAGAUGAGAGGACAAGAAGGUCCCACCGGGCGUGCCAAGAAAUUUGUAUGACGAAAUUUCGUGUAUUAAAAUAUAGAAAUCGUUACAAAUUGUAUUUUGAUAAAUACAAGUGAUGUUGACCUUCUCAUAAUUGCAAAAUUGCAAAAUCCUCUGAUUAAUGAUCUGAAUAUUUGAAGACGAGGGGCCACGUGGCUUAAAUCAUGAUCUUCAAUAAUUUGUUGAAAAUUUGUUUUGUCGAUAUUUAACUUGUUUGGAACUUGAAUCUUGAGGCUUGGACUUGGACUUGAAUUUGAUUUAAUUUGAAGAACAUUUUGAUCUUCUUGGAUUUGGCGUGAACCCGUUUGAUUCGAAGAAGAUUUUAAUCUUCUUGGGGUUCACCGAGUUAAGGCUUGACAGAAUUUCUUCUCUUCUUUCAAUCUUGAGAUUUUUUCAGCACUUCGUGGCGUUCUCUGCUUUCUUUUCUUACUUGCUUUCUGUGUGUCUAUCUUAUGGACCAUUGGUCCUAUUUAUAGGCGAGAAUUCGCACUAAAUUUUGUAAUUACUCAAUUAUAUCUAAUUAAAAGAGAUAAUUGAGCAAUUAUGAUUUUAUUUAUUUAUUUAUUUAUUUAUUUGUUUGAUUAUUUAUUUAAAAUGUGAUACGGGCCUUUGGAUUUAUGGACCUUAGUAGAUUUUAAUUUAAUUGGGCUAAUGAUUUAAAUCGAUCCGAUCCAAUUUUUUUUAUUUUAUUUUUAUGUCUACAAAUGCCCCCUCAAGAUUUAUUUAUUUACUAUGAAAUAAAUAAAUUAAUAAAUCUUGAUUUUUUUUUUUGAAUUGUUUGAUUUUGAUAUUUUUUAUUUGAUUUGGUCUCAAACAUUUCAUUAGUAAAUUAAACAGAUGAAAUAUUUGAGAAUAAAAUGUGAAUUUGAUAAAAUUCUUAUCCUUCAAAUUUGAGAAUAAGAUUUUUUUUUUUUAUUUGUUGAAUUUUGUUUAUUUAUUUAUUUUAUACGACCCAUAACAAAUUUGAUUUGAACAGGCUUUUUAUGUUUCAUGAUGAAUUGGGUUUAAAUGAAGCCCGUUACCCACCUAUUUAUACGAAGGAAUUAUGAGAUUUGAGAACAAAUCUGUUAAAUCUUGCAAACAGAGGUAAAGUAUGUAUUUAUUAUUAUUUUUUUUCACGCUUUUUUUGUCUCUCUAUUUUUAUUAUUAUUUUAAUUUCUCUUGGUUUCGGCUAUGCAGAAACCAAAAAAGUGCAGAAACUGUAUUGGAACUUCUUUUCUUUGCUUUUCUUCUUCUUCUUUUUUUUAAUAUUUAUUAUAUUUUUUUUCUUGGUUUCCGCCGUAGAAAACGGCUGAAACCAAUUUUGUUGUUGUUGUUGAUGGUUUCUGCAAAAACCAAUUUUGUUGUUGAUGGUUUCUACAACGAUUUGUAGAUUAUUGGCUUCUGCAAAUCAUGGCAGAAACCAUUUAAUUUCCAAUUGGAGUUCAUUGGUUUCUGCAAGUUUCUGCCAUGAUUUGCAGAAACAAUUCCUUUAAAUUUUUUUAUUUUUUUAUUCUUGUGUGACGUGAAACCCUUUUUUGUCUUCUAUUUUAAGUUUCUUUCUCCUUUUCUUUCUUUUUUUUUUAUGUAUUUUAUUUAUUUAUUAAUUACCCCUUUAUUUUGAUCCCUUUCUUCUUCUCUCUCUCUCUCUCUCUCUUUUUUUUUUUUUUUUUUUUUUUAAAAAAUUUUAAAAAAAAAAAAAAAAAAAAAAAAAAAAAAAAAAAAAAAAAAAAAAAAAAAAAAAAUUUUUUUUUUUUUUUUUUUUUUCUCAAGAAAGUUGAAACUAACAAUCUUCAUUUUUUUUUCAGGGAUUCAAAUUUUUGGAGCGAAUCAAGAAUUUUGAGAUUUCAAAUUUUCUUCUUGUAAAGGUUAAUUAUUAUUAUUAUUAUUAUUAUUAUUAUUAUUAUUAUUAUUAUUAUUAUUAUUAUAUUUUUUCAAUUAUUUUAUGAGUUCAGAAAAUAUAUGAUUAUGAACCAACUUAAAAUUGCAAACCUUCAUACACAUUGAAGACCAAGGACUGCCACUUUUCACCAGUUAAUGCACUUUUUGUUGAGGACCAAAGACAUGCUCCUUCCAUCGUCCAAGACACUUUGUGUUAAGGACCAAAGACUGGCUCCUUCAACUGUCCAAGGUACUUUGUGUUAAGGACCAAGGACUGGCUCCUUCAACUGUCCAAGACACUUUGUGUUGAGGACCAAUGACCUGUUCCUUCCAUCGUCCAAAACACUUCGUGUUGAAGACCAAGGACCUGACUCCUUCAACUGUUCAUGACACUUUGUGUUAAGGACCAAGGACUGGCUCCUUCCAACUUCAAAGGCACUUUUUAUAGAGGCUGCUAACAUAUUUGGGAUACUCGGGAUUUUAAACAAUAAACCAAUUUGAGAGGUUUAUUGCCCUCCCUUUUUUUUUGGCUGACUUUUUGUUUUGUUGCAGGCAUGGCUGGAACAAGUUCUGAUGAUAAAGUGUGUUUUGACAUGCACGAAAUUGUUGAGUUUAAAAAUCAAGGCAAAAGUUAUCUGCGUUUCAAAGAUACUGAUGUGAAGUACCAUGCCUAGACCGGCGUACGAGGUGAACUUAAAGUUAGUGUCCAUAAGCCAACGACAGAUCCUUCCUCUGACCUUCUGGAGCAAUUGUCGAAGUUGCAUAUGUCCACCAUUAGUGAUUGUCACGAGAGUUUGGAUACUGGCAAGUCCAAUCGCUCUAGCAGUCACCUUCCCUUUUUGUGUCUUCCACCUCAUCAUUCCCAGAGCAUGGAGUACGUCCCAAGGGCUAUGAUUUGUGAGAGAAUUGAUAAUAGAGAAAUACAAUGGGGAAGCGCACUAGUCAGUCGAGGAGAGAUUUCUUUUUUUCCAAAAUUUGGGAGUGGUCUUUGUGGGUCCAGAAACUUCUGCUCAAGAGAAAUCUCUGAGAGUUAGCUUUUGUAGUCGGUUCUGCUGCAAAAGCUUACCAUCGCACAAACUCCAUUUACAGAGCUCUUUGUGAGGUUUGGUGUCCAGAAACCAACACCUUUGUGACUUCCAAUGGUGAAAUUGGCAUUUCUCUUUGGGACAUUCGAGAGAUAAGUGGACUUUUGAUCACGGGUCAUUAUUAUGAGGAAGUAGUCCCAAACCUUACAGAGUUGACGGAUCAUCUUGCCAAGUUUUGUUUGUAUCUCUUUAAUGUUUUCGCAUUGAUUGCCCACGCGAAUGAAUCUGACAGAGUUAUUCAUGAACAGUGGAUUAAUUUUUGGUUUCAUGAGAAUGGUUGUGUCUCAAACCCUCGACAACACAAAAAUUAUAAGAAUGCUAUGAAUUUAAAUCCAUUCAAAAGGCGCCAUCAAAGAACAUCGAAGGAAAUACGGAGGCCCGUGGUGGCAGACAAGCCGAGAGACAUUACUCGUAGAAAUCGAUGACAUUGGGGCAAUUUUCCAGUAUCUCUGUCUAUGGAAGAAGAAGAGGAAUUAGUGAUAGCAGCCUAUCUCUCCCUAUGGCUUUGUCGCUUCGUUCUUCCAUCUGGGGACGAAAGUAUAAGAGUCGAGACUUUUAAAGCAUCUUCUAGGAUGGCAGGCGGAUACACUUAUAGUCUGGUUCCACCCAUAUUAGUGAGCAUUUAUAGUGGACUUACACGAACAUCUAACUAUCAGGCAAAUCCAGACCUUGGCUCAAUUUCACAUUCAUUUCCUGGACAUUUUCUUUAUGCUUGGGCAGCAACUUAUUUUGUCCGAGGUGUUUAUGCUCAUGUAGACAAGAGUUAUUCUCGUCCUAUAAUUCGAAGAUAUGCCAGAACUCUAAAUGCUUUUCAAUCUUGGGAGAAAAAUGUCGUUGAUUGUCGGGAAUUUAUCCGUGGAGCGAUGAACACCGAUAACUUUUGCUGGAAUCCAUUACCCUCAUCGUCUCAUCCUGAUGUACGUGUGGAUGACCAAUCGAGGUCUACAGAUACUUCAGAAUUCAUGAUGAGUAUUCCAUCUAGAUUUGUCUCUUAUUGUUGAGGAAAUUCACCUUUCAUUCUUGAGGCGUAUAAUCCUCACAGGUUUGCGAGACAGUUUGGCUUUAGAUAGAAAUUUCCCGGUUCACCAUGAAAGUUGAAUAUUGCCCCCAGUGUAGGCGACAUGUAUCGGGUUUGGUUGUCCCCAACUCGAAUAAAAAGUGGGUCUGUAUUUCAUAUUCCAGAGUAUGUGAGGGAUAUACAUCAAAACAUUGAUGUUGAAUACCAAGCUUGGUGGAAUAGCAAAGUGUUACCACUCUUGAUCAAGGUCCAGGUGCAAGUCUUAUUUUCUAGUGAGAGCCGUGACUUUGUUCUUGGCUCCACUCCGAAUAGGGUUUUAGCUAGAGGGUUAAACCCUCCAAAUGCUGCUCCUGAAGAGGCUUCUCGAAAGAGAGAUCUAAACCAGAAAAAUGAAAGAGGUAUUAAGAGAAUCAAAAUUAUAGUUCCAUCGGCAAAUGUUGCUACCACCUCUGAGCCUACUCAUAAGGUGCCAGAAGUAAUUUUGAUUCCAGAUCAUAGUAGUCCUGGAGAUCGAGCAUCACAAGCACCAGGAAAGACUUUGACUCCAGAAGAUGAAAGUUCUAGAGAUCAGGUAUAGUUCUCCCUUUUUUUAUGUACUGUUUGUAUCUGAUUUUCUAUCACAAUCUUCAAUUUCAGGCUCCUUUUUCUCGAAUAUACAAAAUCAGAUGACCAAUAGAACCGAAGCCGCUUCAAGCUAUUCCGAGUCUUUCAAAAGGUGAAGUUGGAGCUUCUCACAUUAAUCUCAGCCUCCUGAACACAUCAUCAGACGGUGGAUUUUUAGACAUGUCGCCCAGGACACGAAAUGCAGCUAUGUGCUCUGUUGUUGUUUGCUGCACUUUUUCCCUUUUUUUUUGAAACCAUGCUUCAUUUCUUGUAGGUUUUCCGAGCAUCCCUGAAGAACUAAAUUUCUCCAUAAAUCCAAACUUUUUGCAAGAUCAGACUAGCAAGAAUGACAGGCGAAUCGAUGCACUUCAAGGAAUAGAUGGUAUUCAUGAUUCUCAUGACCUUCUUUGCAAAUAUCCAGGCAUCAUCAAUGGAGGUACUUUGGUGCAUAUCAUGAACAAUUUUAACGCUGAAGAUGAAGUAAAUUCAGAGACUGUGAGAGCUAAUAUUUCAGAGAUCAAUCAACGAGUUCCUGUCGUUCCAUCUAUGUUAGCUUUAGUCAGUAUUCCGCCUUCACAAACAAAUAAUCAUCAGGCUGCACCAGUCUGUUCUUUCAUGUCUGGUCGUCCACCUAGAAUUACCCAAGAGUCUCCUUAUCUGAAAGCUGCUCUACAAGAAGCUAUGAAUAAUUACCUCCAUAAAUAUUUUAAGGAUGUCUUAAAAUAUGGAUUCUCCAAUACUCGAUCUUGGUGGGAUGAAAAUAAUUUAAUUCUUCAGAAUGUGAUUACCAACUCAUUCCACAUAGACCCAGCACCUUUGAUGAAACGCAUGGAUGUGUUUCUGAAAAAAAUUAACUCUUACUUGUCUGAAAGAAAGAAGCACUUGGAUUGUCCAACCGUUGAAGAAAAGGCGGAGGAGUUGAAACUUUUGAACAUUUAACUGGAAGUAAAGGAUUCCACGUGUUCUUCCUAGACUACCGACCUUGAGUGAUUACUUUCCUAAGGGUUUCUUUGAUAAAGAAUGUCUAACCUCCAACGUAAUCAAUGUGGAGGAGAAAUAUGAAAUGAAGAACGUAUCAAGGCAGACUUCAAAACAGAAAAAAACUAUUUCACCACUCAAUAAUAUUCCUGCCAAUACAAGUCCAGCAGAGUCUCUUGCCCUUCCCUUCGAUGAUCGAAUGGCCUUGGUCGCAGCGUUAAUCAAUUCGGAAGAAUACUAAGGCAAAGCUUUAGAACAUAUUGGAGUCACAACUCCUCAAGACUGUAUGGUCGCCAUAACAUUUGACGAUGGAGAUUUACAACUGAGUUCACGUCCACAUAAUAGACCACUGUAUGUCAGCGGUUAUAUUCGAGAGUGCAAGAUAAAUCGUAUAAUGAUCGAUUGUGGAUCUGCUGUAAAUAUUAUGCCGGUCAAAAUAAUGAAGAAAAUUGGAAUCAAUGUUGGUAAUCUAUCCAGAAGCAAAAUCAUGAUUCAAGGAUUCAAUCAAAAAGGUCAGCGAGCCAUUGGCAUGAUUCGCCUAAAGCUGCAAAUAGGAGAGUUAAUCUCCUCGGCUCUUUUCCAUGUCAUUGAUGCUAAAACAUCAUACGAGUUACUCCUUGGACGUGUUUGGCUACACGAAACUGGAGUGGUACCUUUGAAAAAGAGGCAGAAAGAGUAGAACGAAGAAGACGUAGAAACCGAUCGAAAAAUGAGAGGCAGUGAGGACGUCUCUUCCUUAGAGAGAAAGAGACCAAUAUAUCUUGUAACCAUUGGCUCAAGUAAGGUAAGUAUAGGUAGGUUAACCAAUGGGUCAAAUUAGAGGCCCAAGAGAUAGUUAAAUGGGCUCACAAGUUUUUUUCCUCAAUUAAUGGCCAUCCAAGGAAGUGGAUUGGGCCACGAGCAACACUAAAGUAUUUAGGUUGCUUUGAGUGGCCCAAUUAACCUUUGGAUCAUAUCAUCUUGAAUGUGAUAUUAGAUUCCCGUUCAGUCAUUUGACUGAAAAAAAUAAACAGAGUAACAUCAUAGCCCAGGAGAUUUAUCAGGUAUCAAAAAACCUAACAAUCACAAAUAUCUUAAUUAUGUUUUUAAACCUAGAAAAGCUCUCUAUGGUUUAAAAUAAGUCCCUAGAGCUUGAUAUGAAAGAUUAAGAGAAUUUCUACCCUCAAACUAUUUUUGUAUAUGAAAAGCGGAUACUACCCUCUUUGUCAAAACCAAAAAUAUUGUUCAAAUUUAUAUUGACGAUAUUAUCUUUGGUUCAAUUAAUAUUUCUUUUUGUAAAGAAUUUUCUAAAUAUAUGAUUAAGGAGGAGUUUGAAAUGAGCAUGAUGGGGAAAUUAAAAAUUUUUCUUGAACUCCGAAUUAGACAAACUAAUAAUGGAAAUUUAUAAGUCAAAAUAAAUAUAUAUCGGAUAUGCUCAAAAGAUUCGAACUGGAAAAUCUGAAGCCGAUGAACAUUGCUAUGAGCUUAUCCAUAAAAUUGGACAAAAAUGAUCAAGGCACUUCCGUUGAUAUAACAAAAUAUCGAGGUAUGAUCGGAUCACUUCUUUACUUAACCACAAGUAGAUAUGAUAUUAUGCUUAGCGUGCGCUUAUAUGCAAGAUUUCAGUCAAAUUCCAAAAAAAAUCACAUUUUAGUGUUGUAAAAAGAAUUUUUAGAUAUCUUAGUGGUACUAAAACUUUUGGUCUUUGGUAUCCAAAAGGCACUCACAUCGAUAUACUUAGUUAUUCGGAUGCCGAUUGAGCCAGUUGCACAAUUGAUGAUGAAAAUGAUAGUGAAACAUGUCACUUUCUAGGCUUUGCACUUGUGUUACAGUUUAGUAGUAAAAAAAACUACAUUGCAUUAUCUAUUGUUGAAGCCGAAUACAUCUCCUCUGCUAGUUGUUGUGCACAAUUAUUGUGGGUGAAACAAACCCUUAAUGAUAAUUAUUUAUCAUCUAAUUAUAUACCUAUCAUGUGUGAUAACACAAAUGCUAUAAACUUGUCCAAAUAUCCCAUUUUACACUCUUGAAUAAAACAUAUUAAAAUUAGACAUCACUUUCUUAGAGAUCAUGCACAAAAGAGAGAUAUUGUAUUAGAAUUUUUAAAUACACAAAAUCAAUUGGGCGAUGUCUUCACAAACCCUCUUGCACUUGAUUGAUUCUCACAUAUUAGAAGAGGCUUAGGGAUUAUUGACCAAUCCGAAGUACAUAACUAAGUUGGUUGAAUAUUAUGGAAUUUAUUUCUACAUGGCAUUAUCUUUGCAAUUUAUUUAAAAAAGGGGACAUUAGGAAGAGUGAAACAGACUGUCCUGAAUUUGGAAACAUACCGUCCAAAUACCUUGUUUGGUUUGACACAAGAUUUUGCCUAAAUCAAGCCCUGUCAAUCUAGAUGUCUGGGUGAACGAAUCUUGUAUAUGAAUUCAUGAGGUAUUAACCGUAAAUUAACCAACGAGAAUUCUGCUUCAUUACGGCAGAAGCAUUUAGGUUACAUUUCUCAAAAGAGGAUCAAAAAGCUCGUAUCAGGAGGGAUUUUUGAUUCCCUUAUCUUUAGACUUAAGUGUUUGCUUAAAUUGUGUUAAGGAGUAACAAACAAAUAUAAAGAGAUUAAUGCCCUGAAUGACGAAAUAAAGUCUAUGAAAGACAAUGACAUUUUGGGAACUUCUCUUAUUGCCUGAAGGUACAAAACUCAUUGGUUACAAAUAGAUAUUUAAAAUCAAGAGGGAUUCAAGAGUAAUGCAGAAAGAUACAAGGCUCAUCUUUUGCCAAAAGACUUUACUCAAAAGGAAGGCAUCAAUUAUAAAGAAGACUUUUUCUCCAACUUCAACGAAAGACUCUUUUAGGAUUAUAAUAACAUUUGUGGCACAUUUGGAUCUUGAGCUACAUUAGAUGGAUGUAAAGUCAGUGUUUCUCAAUGUUGACAGUGAUGAAACGAUAUAUAUGGUGCAACCAGAAAAAUUUGUGUCAGGAGACCCAAAGAAAAUUGUUUGCAAAUUACAGAAAUUCAUCCAUGUGCAUAUGCAAGCUUUCCGUCAAUGGUAUUACAAAUUUCAUCAAAUAAUCAUCUCGCGUGGUUUUGAGAUAAAUGCAGUUGAUGAUUGUGUAUAUCACAAGUUUAGUGGGAGUAAAUAUAUUUUUCUGGUAUUGUAUCUCGAUGACAUACUACUUGCCUGCAAUGACAUAGGCUUAUUGCACAAAACUAAGAACUUUCUAUCAAAGAUUUUUGAAUUAAAAUAUCUUGGUGAUGCCUCUUUUGUAAUAGGCAUACAGAUUAGGGAUUGUUCUCGAGUUAUUCUUGGAUUAGCACAAAAGAGCUCUAUCGAUUUGGUACUUAAGAGAUACGGAAUGUGAGAUUGCGAACUAGGAGAUACCCUGUUUCUAAAGGAGACAAGUUUACUCUCAAAUAAUGCCCUAAGAAUGAUCUUGAAGAAAAGAAAAUGCAGAAGAUUUUCUAUGCUUCAGCAGUUGUGAGUUUGAUGUAUGCUCAGGUAUGCGCAUGUCUGGAUAAAGUAUUCAUUAUUGAAAGGUUGGGCAGAUAUUUAAGUAACCCUGGGAGGGAUAAUUCAAAGGCAGCCUAGCGGGUUAUAUGGUAUUACAGAGAACAAAAGAUUACAUGCUCACGUACACGAAAUCAUAUCAAUUGGAGAUCAUUGGUUAUUCUGUAUCUGAUUUUGUUGAAUGCUAAGAUAGUUGGAGAUCCACAUCGGUCUGUCAUCCUGCUAGCUAGAGGAGCUAUAUCUUAGAAGAGUGCUAAGCAAACACUCAUAACUUCUUCAACCAUGGCAGUAGAGUUUGUAGUAUGUUAUGUGUUAUCCAAUCAAGGAAUAUGGCUGUGAAAUUUUGUCACUAGGCUACAAAUUUUUGAUGGAAUUGAAAGACCACUUAAGAUAUUUUGUGACAAUAAGUCAAUGGUCUUGUAUUCAAACAACAAUAGGAGUUCAUCAAAGUCUAAGUUUAUAGACAUAAAAUUUCUAGUUGUUAAAAAAAGAGUUUAGAGGAAGAUCCAAAACCCGCAAAGGAAUUCAUGAAUCAAGAAGAAGAAUUCAAGAAUCCAUUAUCAAGAAUCAAGAUUAAAGAUUAAAGAUCUGGAAAACAAGAUCCAAAGAUUGCAAUUCAUAAUUCAUUAUUCGAGAUACAAAUCAAUGGAUUAAAGUAUGUUCCGCAUUAAUUAUUUUUCUUGGUGAGUUGACAUGGAGAUCUUGGAAAUUAUGUAAAAUUUAAAUUUCAUAAAUAUUCCACAAAUCACUACAACUGUAAGUGGAGCUCCUUGGCAAUUUUUAGCAAUCUGCUUGCUGAUUUCUACCAUUUCAAGAGGGCAGCCAAUUUCUUCCAAUUCAAGAAAAUAAAUACCUAAUCUAAAUACCUUCUGAAAAAAUAAAUCCCAAAUUUCUUUGUCGUUCAGGAAAUGCAUAUGAUGAGGAGGAGAACUAGCGUUGAUAUAUUUAGCCACAAUCUCUAUCCUAGUUGUCAAAAGGAUUUGACUUCUAGUUUUGUUUACUGGAAAAAAUCUUUUCACACUUUCCCAGGUCUUGAUAUCCCAAACAUCAUCCAUUGCAAAAAGAUACGUCCUACACAAGAGGUUCUGGUAUAGAAGUAAUCCUAAUUGAUCAAUGUCUUUUCACUCCUCUAGUUAAUUUGUAUUUUCAUAGAAUCUAAGAGGCAUAGUAGGAUUUCUUGCACACUAUAUUCUUGAGAUACGGUGAGCCAAGCAAGAGUGUGAAAGUGAUAAUAUAUUUAUCAGUGUAGACUUUGUGAGCAAGUGUAGUCUUAUCGAUCCCACCCAUGCCGACAAUUGAAAUGAAUUGCUAACUAGAUGUUACUUGAUCUCCGUUUAUGCAUCAUCAAGACCAACCAUAGUGCUCUGACCCAGGAAACUGGUCUUAAUGAACCAACAGGCAAUGAGGUGUUGCCCACCAAAUCUUCUUGUACGCCACUCUCAUCCUCAAUCUUCUCUGCCCUUGUCUUUGUGGAAUCAACUUCUUCAGUUACUAAAGCUAUUUCAUGGAAUGACUUGCAUAUUCUUCAAGAACUCGAUCUGCAAUGCAGGGUUCAAUGAUAUCUUCAGUUUGACUGCAUCACUGAUCUUUCUCUCCAAACCUUCCAUUGAUUUGAUGUUUUCAGUUGAAAAUUAUCAAGAAAAUCUUGCAAAUAAGCAACUUUUUUGAGGAGAAAUUCGGUUUGUUGUUCCUCACCAGGGAAGAAGAUAUGAACAAUCAUAUUUCAGGAUGCGCAUAGAACGGGAGUAAAAGAAAGAAGAGCAGCAUAAGCCAUUUCCGUUCUCUCCUAUAACAGCUUGAGAGAGAGAAAUUUGAAGCAAAAUGAAAGCAAUCAAAUCUGUUCCACCUAACACAUUUUGCAUGUACAUAUUGUUUAAGCAUGUUGAUAGCGAUUUACAAUUUCUUAAUUGAAUAAGAGGCUGCCAAUGUAGACUUUGAUGAGGAAAAAUUCUAUUAAAUUGCAGCAAAACUAUUUGUUUAUUUAAUGGAAGCAGACUUCACAAUAAACUAUGCAAGUUUAUUGUUAAAGAAAGUUGAUGAAAAUUGUGAAUUUCAAAGUGAAUAAAAGUCUUUCAAUCUUGGCAUGUACUUGACAUUUAGUAAUAGAUUCUAUCUAUAUUUAUAUAAUUACAGAUUUACACUGUUUCUUUUUAAGAUAUGCAUUCUCUAACUAUAUCAAUAUCUGCGCGCAUAUACAAGCAAUUUUUGAAUUUUGUAAGCAACAUCAGAGUAUUGUAAGUGAUUCUCAGGAAAACUAUUUUUUUUUUUGGGUUAGGUUAUAUGUUGUUGUUACUAAUGUUUUAACUAACUCUUUCUUUUUUCUGUUCCUGUGGUCCAUUCUAUUUCUUACUUGAUGGAAUCAAUGACAUUAGUUGCGAAAUCUCUUUUUGGAUAAGUUUUUUUUAAACAAAUUCGUUUCGUCCGAUAAUUUUUGACAUUUUAGUUAGAAAUUUUUCAAUUUUCUAAUUCCCUAUUCUAUUCCUAGUUAAAAUCUAAUUCGUAUGAAAUGUUUUCCGUUCUUUGUGCUUCAAGCUAUUAUCGACUGUUUAGUCUUUCUAUUUACUUUGGCUUUACAUUUUCAUUUACGGAUACGGUACCAUCUAGUUUUAUUAACAUACUAUCAGAAACUUUUAUUUUCUACUCGCCUAUUUGUUCUUUCAUAUAGUUUUGGUAAUUUCUCAAUUGAUAAAAUUUCAAUGCAUACUUAUUACAGAAUGCCAAACUUGAAAGUUCAUAUUAUUUUACAUAAGAUUUUUACUAGAUUCUGAUGUCUUCAAGCAGAGGUUAGUAUGUUCUGUUCAUGACUGUAGACAUAAAUGAAAUUAUUAUUAAAAAAAAAAAAAAUUCUCUGUUUUCACUCACUCUAUUUUUGACAAGAAAAAACUACAACACUCAGCGUUGUUUGCCUUCAAUUCUACAGCCGGCCCUCUUUCGACUGCCUCAAAGAGUUCGCAGAUCACUUGACCUCCUAACUUUAACUGUUUUGGCGAGAGACGUACUUUUGUAAAAGCGACAUAAUUGUGAAACAUAUAUGCAGUAACUCAAUCAUUCGACUUCAAUAUCGAGUCGACGGUGCCAUUAUUGCAAGUGAGUUUAACACCGGUGACCUUGUUGGAGUGCUGGUAGUAACUAUCAUGUUAAAUCUUGCGUACAAGGCAGUUAAUGAUUCUUCCUGGGUAAUAACUCUUAGUGGGAAAUGAUGAAGGUAAAAAACAUUUUUUUUUUUAAAUCUGGAAAUGUGUUCGAUUAAAAUAGUUCUAAUUCUCAUUGCAAAAAAUUAUAGAGACAUUUGUCCCUGUUGUUUCUGAACUAAGAAAAUAUUGCUUCCUAGAGUGAAUUUCAAAAAUGAUAAUGCUAUAUCUAAACGAGUGUGAUUAAGAGAGAAAUCAUUCCUAAGGUAAUACGAUAUAUCUCUCGUUAAUCGGACACAUUAGUCUAAUUCUAAUGUAGAUUUUAUGGUAAUCAGAGUUUUGUGUCCGAUUCUUUUGUCUGCAAUUACAUUUCAUUUGUAGCUGAUGAAGUCAAAUUUAUGUACAGAAAUACUCAUUUAUAUCUAGAUUGACAAUGUUGAUUAGUUUAUAUUGCCAUAUGUCCUCUAUAAUGAUUAAACCUGUUUCAUUUGCUUGUUAUAAAUAUUGGUCCAUCCCGACUUACCUUUUCCAUGUUUUACACAGUGAUAUCAAUUGAGAUAAGUUGAAUGCAUUUGCUAUAAUUGGAGCUUGUCAUAUUUUAUUUAUUAGUAUUUGAUCUGUAUGUUAGCUAACUGUUGGCAAGUUACUGAGUGAAGUAAAAGUUAAAAACUUUCUUCACAGUAGGAAGGGUCGGCAUUGGCAUUACUAUGCAUGAUGGGAAGGAAAGCAUGCAGUUAAGGGUAAAUUAAAUCUGGGAACUUUAUUUUGCUAUUACUUUUCUGAAAUGUUCAGGUAAAGCAAAUAAAAGGGAAAAAGAAACAAAUCUUGAUAUGAUCCAGGAUUCAAAGGUCGAGAAUUCAAGUCCGAGUAGAGAUCCGUUGAUAGUCGGAGGUGGUCCGAUGACUCGGUCGAGGGCGAAAAAGGUAAAUCAAGCGAUGCUGGUUCAAUCAACAAUUGAAGAAACAUCGGUCUUGGAACAGACAGGAACAAGUUUUGGGUUGAGCUUGGGAGCCGAAUCCAAGUGGAUGGACUUGAUUCAAGUCUAGAACGAAGUUGACAGCGUGCCGGAAUUUCGCUCGCUCUUCGCUGGGAUCUCGCUUGAGGGAGAAAAGCAAAAUCAUUUUCGCUCACUUUUUGCUGGGGCUUCACUCGAGAGACAUUGACAUUGCUCGCUUUUCACUUGACAUCGCUCGAGCGACAAUUAAUUUCGAAUUUUUAUUCUCUUAUGCGUUUUUCCUUAUUUUGGUUAGAAUUUUAGUUCAUUUGAACUUCUUACCAUAAUGGACAUUGUUUAGUCCGAUUUUCACAGAUUUUCUAGGAUUAGCAUAAAUACUUUCAAUUAUUUUCCAUUCUUUUGACAUAUUAUUCAAUUCAAAGAGAGGCUUUUCGCUUUCUUCCAAUCAUUCUUCCAUUGAGCAAUUAUUCGAACUUAUCAAGGAGAAAUUCUUGUGACGUUCAACAUCGGAUCGUGGGUUCUUCAAUUUGUAAACAAGGGGUCAUCGUAUCUUUGUUAUCUUUAGGUUUCUUGUUUCACUUUCUUGGAUUCAACUCCAAAAUCGAGUUAUCAAUUGGCGUUCUUGAGUUCUGCAUCAAUCUAGUUGUGGGUUUCAUAGUCACCUUUGCUAUAGGGUUCAUAUUAGUUGGUAUCAGAGCCUUGGCUUCGAUUUAAUCAAGUUAUAUCUUUAUUUUUCUUGUUGAGUCGUUAGUAUUCAUUUUCCUAGUUUUCCUUUCUUGUUCUUGAGUCAUUUUUCGUUCCUAGAACUAUCUUUUCAGUGGUAGUUUAAUCUUGUUUUGUUAAAAAGAGAGAGAGAGAGAGAGAGAGAAGUUACUGUUCAUUCGUACCGUUCACAAAAAAAUAAAAAUAAAAUAGUUUUGAUUGAUUUGACUACCAACAUCCUAGAAUUUGAUUCACAAGUUGCAAAAGUUGUCAAAAUCACUUCCAUUUUUUUGUUACAAUUCCAUUGUUACACUAUUUUCAUUGAUUUACUUCCAUUUUUUGCAAAUCCUUUGAAAUCACAUUCCUUGACUAACACUCGAUCUUGAAUCCACUAGUUUGAAUUUGGUGAGUUCAUUGUUGUUCUUGGAAGCACUUGGUGAAAGCAUUUAGUGGUAAAAGGUAGAAUGGUGAGGUUCUUAGAGGGUAAAAGCCAAUUGUGUGAUUCUGAGUGGACUUUGGUGAGGCAAAAAAUUGAGAGAAUGUCUAACAGAGAAGUAUCAAAUUCUAGCUGUAAUAGUAAUCAAAUCAACACACAAGAUGACAUGAUGAGGCGGUUUGAAUGGUUGUUGAUUGAUAUGGGAGAUAUGAUAGAUAGGUUGGAUACUUCGGUUGUAAAUCUUAGUAGAGGGCAAUGGGGGAUGUAACUCAUGCUAGGAAGUCAGGUAGGCGGGAGCCUAGGAUGGAACAAAAAUCGUAUGAUCUUGACAGUGAAUUGGAUGAAGAUGCAUAUGAAGAAGUGGAGAUAGGACGGACGAGGAAUAGAUGUGGUAGGCUUAAACGGCAGGGUAGAAAUAAUCCUGGUGAUGAGAUAGAUGGCAAUUUGGAUAAUAUAAAGAUGACGAUUCCAUAGUUUAAAGGUAGAAGUGAUCCCAAGGCAUAUUUGGAAUGGAAGAAAAACGUGGAGUUAAUCUUUGAUUGCCAUAACUAUUUGGAGGAUAAGAAGGUAAAGCCCCCAUUUGGCUCUCAUUCUUUUCAAAUUUUAAUGGUUGGAAUAGUAUUUUUUUUUUUAAAUGUGUGAUUGAAAAAGAAUAAAAUUUUUUUUGAUUUGCGUGUAAUAUUAUCUUAUGAAAGAUUAAGUGGUUAAAAAUAAAAGAGAAGAAAAAAAUGAGAAUGAAAAUGGGGCCAAAAGGGCUUAAUCAAGUCACCCCACUGCGUUGUUUAAAAUUUGACCACUCUCGUGUGGGUGAUAAAAUUUUAUGAAGAGGUAAAAACAUGUACAGGUAAAUCUAAACAAAACCAAUUCCAAAAGCCACCGCCACGGCCAUCGCCUCAUCCUCUAGCACCACCGUUUCAACCUUCAGCGCUACCACCGACUCAAAACUAGGCACCACCACCGCCAAUAGGCUUGCAAUAUAUUUUUGAACCCAAACUGAUUUUUUGCCAUUUGAUAGAAUCCAAUACUGUUUGGUUUGCUUUUGGUUUGGGUUUCUUUAGUUUAAUUUGAUAGUUCUUAGAGAAAAAUGGAGGGUGGUGCAGCUGCUAUUUCAACAGAGAAGGCAUCAGAAUCUGCUGUGGUAGCCUCAUACACCUAUUGGGUUAAGGAAUUAACCCAUGAUGCAGCUCCAAGACCCGUCCCCAAGAAGCUUAAUAUGUAGGAUUUUCCCAAUCAAUCCUAGCCGACCCACCUCGACUCCACAUGGAAUUGGGUAUCCAUUUGGAGGAUUUGCCCAAGCGGAUAUGUGGGCACCGACAAUGGUGGCGGAAGGUGGCGGCAGCUUUUGGAUUUGGUUUUGAGGUCUGGGGAUGGGAAUGGAGGGUGGGGGUAGAGGGAAGCAGAAGAAGAACCACUUUUUUCUUUUACUUUUUUGAUAUUUUAUUUAAUUUAUACAAUUAUUUUAUGUAGAAUAAUAUGAAAAUACCUUUACCCUUUUCAAAUUGGUCAAAAGUGGUUAAACUUUAUUUUUAUGGAUAACUAACAAUCAAAUUAACAAAAACCAUCCAUUUGGACUUCAAGUAUGAGUUUUUAAAAGAUUUUGUAUUGUAGGUACUACAAAUUAAAUGUUUGAGUUAAAUCCACAUAAAAGUGAAAAGUUUGGUACCGUGGUUACAAUUUUUCAUUGAAAUAACAAAUUUAAUAUUAAGCUACCAACUCUGAGUUGAUUAGUGUUCCUAGGACAAUAAUAUUUUCAACUUAAACUUGAAAUAACAAGUAUUAAUUAAGAUGGGUUGGACGAUUUACUUGGAAUCAAAAGAUCCACCAUAAGAUCAGAGUGAGUUUUGUUUAAGUAGGAAUCCUUAUGAUAGCUCCUAUUCAAUUUUUAGGUGAUUGUUAGUUUAAAAAUUAAAAAUAAAAAAUUACAAAGUGCUAAGAGUACGAGGAAGUAUAGCAAUCGCAAAUUUUUUAUAUUACAACAAGACGGGAUUUAAGAAUAUAUAUGAUACUUUUUAAUUAAUUACAAUGGACAGAGCAUAAUAUUUAGUCAUGCCUCACCAUCUUUGUGAAGAAGCGGAAGAAAACAAAGCACUAGAACAUGAUAAUAAUAAUCAUUAAUUCAACAUUGUUAAAAAAAAAAAAAUGUUAAGUGAUGAGGGAUAGUGUAAUGAAAAAAGGUAAUUGGUAUACACUUGUACCUCGAGGCAAGGUUGAAAGAGAAGCUAGAAAGCAAGAACUUAACGAAUUUAUGUAAUAUUAUCGAUUGUCAAAUUUUGACCAUGGUUCCCUCCUCCAUGUUCUAGGGGGGCAAGUUCAUAAUUUUGUGACAGGUCGCACCUUCGUGGACAAUUUGGUUCAUUAUAAGGUUGGUAUAUAUAGAACUGUAUCAAAAUAAGGGCGAAUCAAGGGGUUACAGCCAGGUCCAAACAAGGACACUAAAUGAAAUCAUAGUUGUACAGUACAGACUUUAGAAAAAGUUAACUGCAUUGAAGUUGGUUUAAACUGAGCUCCCACAUCUCGAUCUGUAGACUGUAUAAAUUCAGAGGAGAGGAAGUAAGAAUGUAAAUAAACACAAGAAAGCAAAAAGUGAAAAUGGAAAAAGUUCACAAAAGAAAAUGGUACCUGUAAAUGAUUGGAAUGGACAACUUUAAAUCUCUGCACAUUUAUUAUUCCUUAAUAUAUAACUUGAAGGCAUCGUUUCCCCAAAUCAAUUGUUCCUCUUCUAUUUUCUUUGCUGAUCUUACAAUUGAAUCACCAAGGGUUGAAAUUUUCCCAAAAACACGAAGUCAAAUCAACUAAAUGGAUUGAAGAGUUGACAUUUCCCCAAAACCACUAGGGAUCUCAUCCAGCUCUCUACAAGCCCCAAUCGAAAUGACUAGGCACUCGAGUCUCAGGUAGUGGAUAUAGUCAGCUCUCCAUCGCUUCAGACUAACUUCGCGUAACAGUAGAAAUUUCAACUUGGGAAACUCUUCUUCAUUUGGUUCCCACUCUAGUUCAUUGAAGGCACAGUGUUUCAAUUUCAGCACCUCCAGAUUGGGCAAUGUACUAGGAAUCAUCAAUUUUUUGGGAUGAAGUUUGAGAUAAUCUUUGGAAUGAAAUUCCUUGUCGUCUAAAGUCAACAUUUUGAGUGACGUCGGAAAAGUGAUAUGCACUUGGAAAUAGGGGUACGUAUAUGUAAGCCAACAUUUUAAUGAUUCAAGUAGUUUGGUUAGACGCACAAGAUUAUUAAUACAGUAUCUUUCCCAAUUGGCCACCUCAGUAGAAUCAUAAUGGCUGCCCAAUUUUAGAUUUGGGAUUCUUUCAAGGACUUCCUCCAUCAACCUAAAAUUAUAUAUCCUCAAGAGGGUUCAUAGAUUUCCUAGAACAACAGUAGUAUUUUCUUUCUCCUUAAUUUCCGAAAUAGGAGGAUCAGGAAGAUAUACAUCACCACCCAACUUGACAUGUCAUAAUUGUGGCAUCUUCCAUACUUCUGGUGGUAGUUCCUUGUCGUACCAACAAUCCCUCAGACAAGCUAUUGUUUGUAGAUUCCAAAAUUUAUAUAUUGAUGGAAUAGGAUCCUUUUUUCACUAUUUAUUACAUUUAGUCUGUGUCCAAAUUUAAGUUCAGUCAUUAUCCAAACAAAAUUUUAACUUGUACCAUCUCUGUGCUCCAUAGUUCAAUCAUCAAAAUAUUAUUUGAAAUAAUCAACAAUUUAGUCGUCAAAUUAUUAUCUGAAAUACACCACAAUUGUAAGCAAAAUUUGAGUAUUGUGAUACUGUAAUCAAUAAAGUAAUUCCUAAUUAUUUAUCAACAAUAGUACUGCACACAAAAUGUAAAUCUCUAGAAUGGCAAGAACAAUCAUACAUGAAUCAUGAUUUUUUAAAUUAAUAAGAUCAUGUGAAUGCCACAAAUAAAGAGAGAGGAAAGUAGAAGAAACAACAUAGACAAACAAGGACAUUAAAUGAAAUCAUGGUUGUAGAAUACAAACUUUAGAGAAACUUAAUUGCACGCUUAAUGCACAGCAUCUGCAUUGAAGUUGGUUCAAACCGAGCUCUCAUAUCUCGAACUACAGACUGUAUCAAAUUCAGAGGAGAGGAUGUAUGAAUGUAGAUAAAGACAAGAAAGCGAAAAAUGAAAAAUGGAAAGGUUCACGAAAGAAAAUGGUACCAAUGAUUGGAAUGGACAACUUUGAAACUCGGCACAUUUUGUACUUCUCAAUAUAUUAACUUGAAGGCAUCGUUCCCCCAACCCAAUUGUACCUCUUCUAUUUUCUUUGCUGAUUCUACAAUUGAAUCACCACAUUCAUACAACUCAAUGGAUUGAAGAGUUGAAAUUUCUCCAAAACCACUAGGGAUCUCAUCCAGCAGUCCGCAAUCAAAAAUUUUUAGGUGCUCAAGACUCGGAAAGUGGAUACUAUCAGCUAUCCAGUGCUCCACUUCAACGUCGUGUAAUAGUAGAAAUUUCAAUUUAAGAAACUCUCCUUCAUUCGGUUCCCACUCUAGACAAAGGAAGGUACUCCAUCUCAAUUUCAGCACUUCAAGAUUUGGCAUCGAACCAAGAAUCAGCAAUUUGGAGGGAUGAAGUUUGAUGCCUUUUAAAGUCAACUUUCUGAGUGAUAUAGGAAAAGUGAUAUUGUCUAAGAAAUUGGGGAGCGUAUAUUCAAUAGAACAGUUUAAUGAUUCAAGUUUAGAUAGAUGGACAAGAUUAUUGAUAUAGUAGUAUUUUUCCCAACCAGCCACCCUCGUAUUACCAUAAAUGAUAGCUAGUUUCCGUAGAUUUGGAAUUCUUUCCAGGACCUCCUCUGUCCAGCUAAAAUUACGUAUCCUUGAGAGUGUUUGUAGGUUUUCUAGAACAACAAUAGAAUUUUCUUCCCCCUUAAUUUCUGAACAAGGAGGAUCAGGAAGAUGUACAUCAUCUUCCAACUUGACAUGUCUUAGUUGUGGCAUCUUCCAUAUUUCUAGUGGGUUUUUCAUUUUGUACCCCCAAUGAGUUGGUAAAACUAUUUUUUGUAGAUUCCGAAGUUUAUAUAUUAAUGCAUUUCGGUCGCUAAAGCUGUAAUAGAAGUAUCUCAUGUUAACCAAUUCUUCAAUUCCAUGACUCAAAACAUCAAAUCCCUCCAUGUGCAAUACUUUAAGUGACCUAGAUGAAGAAUCGAAAGAAUAUUCUCUAUAUGAAGAAUGAGACUGCACCACUAAAGAAGAUAGUGUUUUGUCAUCACCCUGGAUUGUCCUUUUAGCUGCAUGGUAAAAAUAAAAAGAUGAUAGAGAAGUCUUCUUAUCAUGAAUACUUACACGGCGCAUACUAGUGUUUCCUCGAAUACCAUAAAGACUCCCUUCAAUGACAUGGAAAAACUUCUCCUUUUCAGCUUCUCUUACACAAAGGUCCCGUAACAGAUCA
rnacentral:lncRNA from 1 species